rnacentral:lncRNA from 1 species
UCCGUCGUCCGGGGAUGCCGUCGUGCUCCCUGGCCGGUCGGGCCUGCUGAUGAUGAUAUGAUUCGUUUUGGCGUGAGUCGAGUCCCCUGUUCGUGGCGCGUGUUGAGGGAUGUCGGUGGGCGUGUGUAUGUACGAGUCGGCGGCGGGUGGAGGUGUGCGCGCGUGUUGGAUACGUGCGUCGACGCGCCACUCUUUGUGGUGGAGAUCAUGUACCCGCUGCGCUUCUGUUUAUCAAUGAGAUGAUUUAUUUGAUUCUUUUCAUCUUAUAUACAAUAUACAUGAGAAUUGCGUAUUCAGUUUGUUGUGUUUUGCUCUGCAAACUUGCGAUGUGCAGAUUGUUGUAAAACACUGUCGAACGAUUCUCCCUCAAUCGAGUUCUUCCGUUGCAAAGAAAAAGAAAACGGUGCAUCUCUCUUAAAAAACGAUUACUAUUCUUACGACCUGAAAAUUAAGGGGUGCAGGCUACAGUUCAAACAUGUAAUUGGAAUCUGAAAUCGAUUUGACCGACUAAGGAACUCACCAUCUGAACUCUAAGCCCUUGUUUACUUCACCCCCAACUCCCAACUUUGGCACUAUGCAAAAAGAAGAUUCCCCAUCACAUCAAACUUGCGGUACAUGCAUGGAGUACUAAAUGUAGAUGAAAUUAAAAACUAAUUGCACAGUUGUUGUACUUUGCGAGAUGAAUCUUUUGAGCCUAAUUAGUCAAUGUUUGGACAAUAAUUCACAAAUACAAACGAAACGCUACAGUGUGCUACAGUGCUAGCACAGUAAUUUUACAUCUCCUAAUUUGACCAGCUAAACAAGGCCUAAGCAAAACGACCGGCAUAACGACUUUCAUUUAUGACCAACCAAUUCAGAAUUGACAAGCUUUAUUUUUCCUACCUCCCUCGAAAAGAAUGCUGUGGCACGGAGUCCUUGUGAAGUUCGUUAGGAGAUGCCGGGCCGGGGUUGCUUAAUCAGUUUGGUGAGGGAUCCGAACGUUGAAAUGAUUGAAGCAUGUUGGCGUCGCCACUUGCCAGCCAAGAAGCCAUGUGCUGCUCGUUAAGCACUGGUCCACAGAUGAGUUGUCUUGGUAGGGGCAGCCGUACCCGCUGUAUCACCGCUGGCAUGCUCCAAGCUGGAAAUGGUGAGCCGUCGCAAUCGCUGCAGUAUUACCCGACUAGUAUGUGCUUUAUGGAAUUGCAGGACUGCUUAAUUUUGACCGUGCUCGUGGAUUUAGAUGCUGGUCGAUGGCUCCAGCUCGAUGCCUUUUCCUACUGUACUGGCUACUGCCGACCGAGAGUCUCAGAGCGUGCAGAAUGCAGGUCGAGUUCCGCAAAGUUGUUGGCGUACACAGCUGGGGAUUGGGCCAGUGCCAGCUCUACACACCACUGGGCCACCUUUGUGUUUUCUCCGGCCUGCUUGAAAAUGUAUUGGGCCAGUUUGUUGGGCCGCUUACUUACAUCUGUGCUCAGCUAAAUCCAGCGAGAACAAUGGAAGAGUUUUUGGCUCUAUACAACAAAUCUUUUGGUUUUUUCCCCCCCUUUCUUUUUCAUCCACAUAAGACACCCACGAUGGCGUUUAUAUUUGUAAGAUAACUGAGUUGCAUUUUUAAGUGCCUCAUUUCUGGAUUAUCGGGCAGCUUCUGAAAGGAAGCUCCAAUUAUAGUAGACGAAGUAGAAGGUUUUUUUUUCGAUUCAAGACCUGGAACGUAGGUAGCUAGAGUCUACGCACUGCAGUUACAUACUGACAAAUUGCAAUGGCGAGUCGGCGACCGACAAGCAGAGGCCAGGCACAGCUGCGUCACAUGAACUCGCUCAUCAUGGCGAGCACCUGCGCCAUCGUGGGCCUCUCCUCCGGCGCCUCGGCGGUGCACAGCACGCCGAUCUUCACCAUCCCCAUCGUCUCCUCCCCUUCGCCGCCUUCCUCGCCGUCGGCGGCCUUGUGGUCCGUCACCACCUCCAGGAGCACCAUCCCGAAGCUGUACACGUCGGACUCCUGCGUCGCCCUCGCGCCCGCGCCCGACGCCAGCUCCGGCGCCGCGUACCCGUGCCACCCGACGCUCGCCGCUGGCGGGGCCGCCGACGACGUCGCGGUCGCCGCCCGGCCCAGGAACAGGUCCGGCGGGCACCGGGCGGCCUGCGGGACGACGGACUGCUGGAUGUUUGUGGCGUAGCGCAUGAGCCCGCACUCGGACACGCACGCGCCGCCGCGCUCGUCCAGGAGGAUGUUGGACGGCUUCACGUUCGCGUGCACAAGCGCCGGCCGCGCCGGGAACGUGUGGAUGUAGUUCAGGCCCUGCGCCGCGCCGAACAGUAUGCUCUUCCUCCCCGCCCAGUCCAGGCUCCUCGCGCCACCACCUGCAGCAACAACAACGGCCCGUCAGGAACACUCGCUUUCUUGCACCGACUGCAAAUUGGCAAUGCAUUUGGGAUUUCAUUAUCUCAUUUCAGCGCGACGACGCACCACUGGCUUGCAGAAGGGACUGGAGGCUCCCGUUGGGGAGGAAGUCGUAGACGAGGAGGCGCUCGCCGUUGGAGUUGCAGUACCCCCUGAGGCUGACGACGUGCCGGUGGCGGAGCCGGCCGACGAGCCGCAUGUGGCGGUCGAACGCCUUGCUCCGGCUGGCGGGGAACUGCAGCGCGCUCAGGCGCUUGACGGCCACCACGAUGCCGUCGUCGAGCACCGCCUUGUAGGUGCUCCCGGACACGCCCUUGCCGAGCACCUCGGCGGACGCCUUGAGGAGGCUCUCCAGCCGCAGCUCCUCGCCGCCCUCGAAGCAGACCAACCCGCCGCUCUUCUGGCACUUGUCGUCCCCGUUCGCCCUCUUCUCUUGCUCCUCGAAGGAGAGUGCCGCGUCGGAGGCGUCCUUCGCCGACCGGAGCUUCCUCCUCAUGUAGACGAACAUGGCCACGGAGAUGGCUAGCGAGACCGUGAUGAGCACUGCGUUGCCAAUGCCGGUGGCCAUGAGUGCAGUCAAGCUAAGCUUACUGAAACCUCCAUUGCUGGAACUGGAAGGCACACUACCACUAACGUUCACUGCAGCACCAGGAGAUUGAGCAGCGAUACUGGUGGUAGCAUUGGAAGAACUAUCCGAUCCUAACGCAUUAUAAGCACGAACACAUCUUGGCAGAGGCGUGCCACAGAGAGCGAGAUUGCCGCCGAAAGUCGACCUCGGGAACCUGGACAGAUCGCCGGAGAUCUCCCCAGCGAGCUUGUUCCCGGACACGUUCAAGCUCCUGAGCGACGGGGCGCGCAGCGCCUCCAGGCCUCCACGGAAGCCAUUGUGCUCCGCUCUAAGCGUGAGCAGAGCACCCAGCGAGAUGUUCAGGCUCCCGGUGAGCCGGUUGCGGGCGACGAGCAGGUGCCGCAGCCACGGGCUCGCCGUGGCGUCGUCCAGCGGGGGGAGGGCGCCGGACAGGGAGUUGUUCCUGACGGCGAGCGCCCUGAUAUGGCUGAGCCGCAGGAGCGGCGCCACCUCGCCGGCCAGCGAGGCGCCGUCGAGGAAGACCCCCACCACCCUGCCCCUGGAGCACCUGAUCCCGAACCACGUGCCGGAGCACGGGUUGGGGCCGUGCCAGGUCGCCAGGGCCGUGGCGUUCGGGUUGUAGGACUUGAAGGAGAGCAGCGCGGGCAGGUCCUGGUGGCCGCCAUUGCCGACCUCUCCGUGCACAGAAGGUACCGAUAGGUGGUAGACGAGGACGGCGAGGAGCAGGAAGGUGGAAUGGUGGAAACGAGGCAUUUUGGUAGCUGUAAGAAUUUUCUUCUGUGUUUGACCGAGAAAUCUAUCCACUCGUUUUAUAGCACGGGCCGGUAACAAUUCAGCGCGGGGAAGUAGAAAAUUUUGAAUGGCGCACGAGCACAAAGGCGUGGAACGACGACGAGCAGAGGGGUCCAAAGAGGAAAGCUGGGUACCUGCGCCGACGUCGUGGGUGGGUGUCGAUGCUGAGGUCGUGGGGAGGAGGGUGGAGGUGAAAAGCGGCGCCAUGGAGGACAGGAGGAGAGGUCCAAGGGGAUGGGGAGCUGACGAGGUGCCCUUUUUCCUCCCUUGGGCAGAAGGAACUUGGACGUAUCUGGUGGGCUGCACGUAGCCGUGAUGGUCGUCGCGCCGGGGAGAUGCUGGUGCUCGCUUCGCUUUACGGAAGCGGCCGAAAGGAAGCAAGAGGGCUCGGGGUUCCACGGCGCGUGGUGGAGUAUCGGGUUCACGAGACGAGACGGGAGUAGCGAGUGGGGACGUUGGCGUCAGGUGGCGCCACGCACCGGUAGGGGAGCAGACAGGAAUGGAUUCCAGCUUCACGUUGCACUAGUCCCCCAGAGUCACAGUGAACCCGGAACACUGAACUGGGUUCAGGUGUCGGGGCAUCUAUUGUUGGGUCCGUUCGUGCUGUGGGCCGAGCCAGGUCUUGCCACCCGAUCCAGCCCAGUAACCGGAGUAGCCAAGAUUUUGUUGGGGCGUCGGGUUCAAACUUCAAAUUGGCAGGUGGAGACGCUUCCAAACGGGUUCAUAGUGAGUCAUUGCUACUGGUACUACGGAGGACUAGGAAGGUUAAUUAUCAUUAUGAACAGUGUUAGUUAGCACCGUCGUCUGAAUGAAAGGUCAUGACAUGCUCGUGAAACCUCGAUUCUAAUGUAUGCGCGCAGUUUUUGGUAUAUCAACUCAGAACUCGACUGGUGGUGUGGUGAGCACAAAAAUGCAUCUUGUUUUUUUUUCCCACUAAGGGCUACGUCCAAAUUUCAUUACUGUUUAGGCAAUGAAAUUACAGAGUAUGAGAGUUGUCGACACCAUGGUCACACCAGAGAUUACAAAAGCAUCUCCAGGAGGACAGGUGCAGACGGCCUUUCCACCUGGGAGGAAUAAAGCGAGCCUACUUAUUACAUGACACAGAACUAACAGCAUGCUAAACAUCUCACAGCCAACCAAACUAGGAACAUUUCUCAACCAGCCUCCAAAGUUGCUUUGAGCAUCACACUGUAUCCAGACUUCCUGGCUUGAUUUGGGACAGCACUUCUUCUCUUUUUUACUGCAGCAGUACCAUCCCUGUGUCGUCGGUUGUUGCUUCACGGGGGUGAAAGUGCAACGCCGUCGCCUUCAUUGCAUCAGCGCCAGCCUCCAGGAUCGUCCUCCCCUCCGGCUUAUGAAGACCUGCUCAAUAUGAAAUGAAAACAGAUGCUGAACAUAUAAUCUCUGAAGGAGAUUUGACCUAUUUUUUAUCAAAGCAAGCAGCAUUUCUAGCUUUCCAGAGUGCCCAGCAGACCGCUGACAGCCCCACCACAUGGAUGUUUUUGUUUUGUGACAUAUACUAUCUAGUCCAUUCCCAAAAUUGGGCAAAGGUAGUUGGUCUACAUGGAGCACCAAUUACCAUGGCAAUAAGGCUCCAUACAUACCUAGCCAAGGCAUAUCCAAAGAAAAGGUGUUUCGAUGUUUUCUUCCAUAUGACAGAAACAACAGCUUUUGUCCCCCUGCCAGUUGCGUUUUAUAAGGUUGUCUUUAGUCAGAAUAGCAUCUUUUUGGAUUAACCACAUAAAGAUUUUUAUCUUCAAAGGGAUUUUGGCUUUCCAAAUAUUGUCAUGAGGACUGGGUAUAGACUACCGCCUCAUCAUCGACACAUCGAACAACGAUGGCAAGGAUGCCAAGUACGAGGCGGUGGUUCAUGAGAAAAACUGGGGAGACCAAAUCACUCUCUUGUCCUUUAAGCGAGCAGACUCUCAGCAACAAUUGGCAUGAGCAUGUUAAUCACUCUCUUGUCCUUUAAGGAUGCCAAUGAUUUGUAGUAGGGUUGCCACCUUGAUUAAUGCUUAUCACUACUUGCUCUACAACUAUUGCAUUUUGUGUUUACUCCAUUUAGCGUCCUUUCGUUACGCCUUGCUUAAUGCUUAUCACUACUUGCUCUACAACUGCUGCAUUUUGUGUUUACUCCAUUUAGCGUCCUUUUGUUAAUCGUUGAAAUGGCGUGGUAGCUGCUGCGUAAUGCGUAUCAUGUAAUUUGGCAUCUCCAAUAUAAAUGGGAUUUUCAGCCUAAAUAAAAUGUGAUUGGGAAAUUUGGCUUCCCACUUUUGUACAUGAUGCAAACGGUCAUAUACAUGCACACACAAUUACAAAUACACGCACGCUAGUUCGAUCUUCAAGUUUAAUAUAGUUUCAGCUGUUCAAACAUUGGAUUGAACAUGACCGAUCCAUUUGAAAGUAGAUUGCUUUCAAACACAAAACGUGGAUUGCGUUAAAUAUUUUUAUUAGACAUAUUAGGAAUGUAAAAGUCAAAUUUAUAAUAAUUUAACCAAACAUUAGUCAAAUUCUAUAAAUCCUCAGUAUAAAAGUUAUAUGGAUGAAUUCAAAUAUGAAAUAUCUUACUUCUAUACAUCUAAUAGUAUAUUGUAAUAGAAACUAUAUCAGUCAAUAUAUAUCUAUAAAUAUUUUCAAAUCAUCAUGUGCCUACUAAAAACAAACAAAGUUAAUGUUAUGGUUGUGAUUUUAUUGCUACAAAUAUUACUAGUAUUAUAAGAGCAUCUGCAGCAGUCUCCCAAUAAAUAUUUCCCAAUAACUAGUUAAUAGGGAUAUUCCAAUAUCACUUUCAUCGUUAUUGGGAGAGUUGCUUUUGCAGUCUCCCAAUAAUUUCAUCCCAAUCCAACUACCGUAUUGAGAGAGUUACAACUCCUUUAUUUAGGGAGAGUUGGGAUGAAUUAUUGGGUUGUCCCAAUAAUUAUUGGGAAAAGGGAAAGUUAAAGGAAGACUGUUGGAACACUAUUUUCUUAUCAACUCUCUCAAUAUGAUAGUUGGAUUGAGGAAAGGGAGAUUGCUAAAGAUGCUCUAAUAAGCUAUGUAUUCAAAACAAAGUGGUCAUGCGGGUAUUAGAGUUGUGAUCCGAAAUAACGGCAGGAAAAUUCUGUUAUCUGCAUGGCGAGUCAUUUUUUAUGCAGUGAGCGUACAGGAAGUGGAGGCAUUGGCAUGCAAAGAAGGGUGGCCCUUGAAGGGAGCCCGCGAUCUUAGAGUUAGACUGCAGUGCGGUCAUUCACUAAAUCAAGGAAGCGAGUAAGAUGAUACUAGCUAGCAUAAUUUUUCACGGUCUAGAAGGCUAAGCGCCUAGCGGAAAGUCUCCCAUGUCUCGUUUUGAGUCAUGUAAAGAGAUAGCAGAACGUAGUCGCACAUGAGCUUGCGAAGCAAAUCGCAAUGUAGUGUGGUGUGAUCAUCCCCCACUUAUAUGAGCAUUUGAUUGCUCAUGCCUGUAAAUUUUUUUUUGAGCAAUCAAUAAAGCGCUCUCUCUUUUUUAAAAAAAAAUUUGCAAAGAAAGAGACUACGAAUCAAAGUUGGAGAAUGUGACGAGUCAAAGCAUAUUGUGAAAUGGAGGCAGCAAAAUCCUAACGCUUCCUGUCGCAUCGACGUUCGAGCUCUGUGUACUUAAUUGAUUGCCACGUAGAAGCCGAAGAGUGCAGCGUCGAUUCAACUGGCGCGCGUCUAGACCCUAUAAAAGGACGGGGUUUCCAAGGCAGCACUGCACCGAUGCUUGCUCUGCACCAGCAAAGGCAGUCAAACUAACAGUACGCCGGGCACCGGAAGAUCGAUCGACCAGGCAUGUCGCCGCCGCCGGAGCAGGACAGGAGGCUUGGCGUCGUCAAGCCGGAGCCCGAUCCCAUGAUCAAGCUCAAGGUGCUGGACAACGAGGGUCGCAGGGUCUUCCACUCCAUGAGGAUGUCCGACAAGCUCCAGGCGGUCAUGGAUGCGUACUACGCGAAGGCGCCCGACGUGACCUACGGCUCCGGGACCUUCAUGUUCGAUGGAUCCAUCCGGCUGCGGGGCAGCGAGACGCCGGCGGAGCACGGUCUGCAAGAUGACGACGUGAUCGACUCCUACGAGGACCUGGUGGGCGGCGGACGGGACGACGCCUGAUGCACCGGACCGGCGGCUGAUCGAUCGAUGGCCGCGCGAGUACGUCGUAGCAGUCGUUUAAUGGAUGUCGUUAUAUUAUCAUUCGCCAGUCAUCACUAGUCUCCAAUUAUUACAAAGACGUAUCAUCUACUAGGAUUCAUCUUUCUACUAUACAUGCAAGGUGGAUCCAAUAUGUUCUCUUGAAACUUUGUUAUUGAUGCAUCUUCACAGUUUACCUGCUGAAUUCAACUGUCAAAACUUUUCUAAGGCCCCGUUUGGAUCAUUGGAAUUGAAUUCCAUCCUAAUAAUCAUAAUUUAGACACAAAUUAAUUAAACUAAUAUAAUUGUAUGUGGAAUAUAGUUGUAUAUUAUAGUUGGUGAUAUGGGAGAGAUACUUGUAUGCUGCACUUCUACUAUAGAGAAGCGAGUCUAAGAGCGUGCUAUAAGAAUUGAAUUCCAUUCUAAUAACCAUAAUCUAUAGAAUCAAUUUCCAUCUCCCACCCCAUGAAUUUAAAAUAGGCUUAUAUCUAAACUUUGGAAAGUUGUGGAAUGCCACAUUCCAACAUAAAUUAGCCUACUCCAUUAAAUAGAUUCCAAUUCCUUGGACCCAAACGGGGCCUAAGCGAAAUGAAGCGUUCGUGGUAUAGCACUUGGAUCAUCCACGGCCCGAUGAUCGAUUGCCCAGGCGGCUGAGAUCUCUUUAGUCGUCUAGAGCUCACGGGGGAAUUCCGAAGAUGCGUUCGGGGCAUUCGAUAGCUUAGCCGCGUCCUGGUACGUCAUGAUUCAUGAACAGUUUGAUCUGGUAAAUUAUGAUUUCAUUGAAGACAUUGCCGUUCCAUUUUCUAUUGAUGAAUUUUUUUAUUAAUCUUCUCGUAAAAAGUUUUUGACGAGGCACUUUAUGCGAUCCAUUGCUUACGAUAUACAUCAAGUUCAACAAAGUGGUUUGGCCUUUUUUUUAGAUAUGCAAAAUAUAAAUCUAUUGAUGCAACUUUGAGACAUGAAAACAUAUAAUUUGACUACUCUUGGAGUAAAACCUACAAAUUAAAGUAUUGACUAUUUGAUACACCCUACGUAAAGAAACAGAGUAAGCAAUGCACGUCAAGCAGACAAAUGAUACGAUCAAGUUCAACAAAUUAAAGUGGUUAGUGGUGAGAAGCAGAUUUUGGUAGGCAUAUACUUCCGUCUCAUCAUCGAUGCGUCGAACAACAAUGGCACGGAUGGCAAGUAUGAGGCGGUGGUGCACGAGAUGGAUUGGGGAGAAAAACUCUCCCUUGAGUCCUUUUAAGUCGGCUAAUUGAUCUACAAUUAGAAUGACCGUCUUAAUGCAAUUAUCCUAAAUAAUGAUGUCAAGGUGUAUUUUCAUGCCUUUGGAUUUUUUUAUGGUUAUAUACAAUUGUCUCAGGAAGCUUGUGCCUCAAGCAUGUCUCUCUCCUAGGAGUAGAUCACUGCCUCACUGGAGACCACAAGAUCAUAGAGCUUCCGACUAAAGUGAGCAGUUUCUUCGAGCUUCUGAGUUCACCAGAAAGAGCGAGGUUGCUACUAAAGGGAGCAGUUUCUUCGAGCUUCUGACUAAAUCGAUCCAAAAUUAUGUCAAACAAUUUCCACUAAAUUACAAGAUAACUAUAUAUUGCAGGAGCUGAUGUGAUAUGAAUCCACUAAAUCACUUCCAAGUUGUAUUUGAACAAACUGUCCAUCGGUUUCCAUCCAUUUCGCCGGAAUACAAGCUCUUAUUAGUAAGGGCUGCAUGCAAGGACUGUCUUAAUUUUUUGCUGUAAGGUAAAACUAGUUGUCAAUUAAUUUCAGGCCAAUCAUUUUCUACUAAAAAUUGCAAGAUACUACUUAAUUUGACACAUCCAAUUAAUAUUUUCCAAAUUGUAUCGAACACCCUGUCCAUCAGCCAUUUGUUGGCAACGUCACGAGGCUAAGUGCUAUUAAAUGCCUCAGUCGUGUCUCCAAUCUUCAGCAAAAACUAUGAACCUGCCAAUCUUGUUAGUACUUCAAUAGACUUCCUCGAUUCUAAAUUAUAGUUCACUUUAGCGUUGUUCUAAACCAAACUAUUCUCUCUGACUAAAUGUAUAGAAAAAUAGAACAAUAUCUACUAUCAGCAUAUUUCUUAGCAGAUUCAAUGAAACUAUAAUUUGACGUUAUAGAUCUUAAUGCCUUUUUUAUGAACUUGAUCAAAGUUAAAGAGAUUUGACUCAGAACAAUACUCGUAUAUACUACUUACAUUUUAAAAGAAGUAUAAAAUAAAGUAGUUAUUGUAAUGAAUGUAAAAUAAGCUUAGAAGAAACCUCAAUGACCAAAUUGGGACUGCAGAAAGUACUUUCUCCACCCUAUUACUGGCUCCGCACGCACAAGAGAAACAAAAGCACGAGCUUGUGGCCAUUAUUCAAACAAUAAAAUUAGCACUAGUCACUUGGAGAGAAACCGGCAAAACAUCCAGAAAUAUACCACACAUAGGGGUGGUAAUGGAUCAUGCCUCCUUCACAAUCCAACUCAACCCUAUUUAUUUUUAGUUCAAAAUCAUAUAUUAUUAUAGCCCGAUACAUAUUGAGCAUGAUCCUUAAAUUUGCUAAGUUAAAUUAGAGGGCCCUUUACCACACCUAACCACGCCACAAGAACAAAAUUCAACAAGCUGUUGGUAACUCGGUACUCUACCGGUUGGAUACAAAACAAUAUUAAAAACUGCUGCUACUAAUAUUCUCUUAAUGAAAUACAUGCACGUUUAUAAAAAAAAUGACUCACAUGACCCUCCUAAACCUAGAGAACAGACUCGAUUGAAACUAAUCGGGAACCUAAUAAUAGUGAGCACAGUCACUGGCAUGUAAAUAAACUAAGUAGAGCUGUAUAUCUAGAUAUUGAGGUAGUUCUUGAUGGACUCCUCGAACUCCUUGACGACGGCUUUCCAUCCGGCAUGGGUCGGGUUGAUGUCGUCCCAGUAGAAGAACUUGUCCGGCUUGGACCCCAGGCUGUACUGCGGCUCACCGUCCUGCACCUGCCCGCAGAACCCGCUCCGGUCGAAGCUCUCGCAGCACGACUCCAGCCUGUACUUGAACUGCUUCGAUCGCGGCGACGGGCCCGCGUAGUGGCUGAAUGCGGCUUUCAGGUCGAGGUUGAAGACGGCCUCGUCCUGGAACACCUUCUCCUCGAGGUACGAGUUGUGGAUGCUCGCCACCUUCUGGCUGUCGCACUUGGCAUCGUAGACGCCGUCCUCGGACCUCGACAGCCACGGCGUGCACCCGAGCGGGGGCAGCGAGGUCACCACCACCUUCUCGACGCCCAGGUCCAUCAGCUGGUCCACGGCGUCGGCGAUCUUGUCCGUCACCUCCUGGGCCUUGGCCUUCACCUCCGUGCUGGUCAUGUCGUUGAAGCGCUCGUAGUCGCGCCUGCCGGAGAAGGCGAUGAGCGCGACGGAGUCCGUGAGGUCCUCGUCGAUGAUGCCGAGCCUGACCAGCCUCUUGAACUUGUCCACCUGCCUGCCGAGCCUGGGCGCGUCGCUCGUCCCCUCCACCACGCCGGCGCCGCCGACGGCGAAGUUCAUGCCGGACGGAUCGACGCCGUCCUGCUUCCUCUUACUCUCCGCCGGAGGGGACUCCUUCCGCCCCAGAAUCCUCGCUGCACAAAUUAUGUAUUGAUGAGACAGGGCCAGGAUUUAGAAUAUUAAGUACUGAUCCGAGCUUAUUAUUACGUACCGAAGAAAUCAGAGAGGACCAAGCCGUUGGAGAAGCGGCCGCUUGGAGUGGCGCCGUGCUCCUUGUCGUUGCUGCCGUACGGGUAGUACCAUGCGCGCGUCGUCUUGGUCAGGUCUGCUAGCGGGAAGUUGCCGGCGUCGGCGAACUCGUCGCCGAACACGAACAGCUUAUACCGCCGGCCCGAGUCGCUGUCGCGAUGGCGUCGGGACUCCACAUGAGCAGCUGCUAACAACAACGUUAAUUAAAGCUCCGAUCCGAGAGCAGAACAAUGCACGACAGCAAGUAAACCACCUGGAGAAAUUAGCAAGAACAAGCAGAACAACACAUACCGUUCAGCAGGAGUAGGAGGCCGCAGACGGCGGCGAAAAGAAGCUUCAUGCUGGCUGGUUCCUUGGAUUUCGAUCGAAGGCGAGUUGCGCGGGGCGCGGGUGUUGAGGUGAGUCAAUUGCUGAGUCGUGGUGCCAGGACGACGGCGAGCGUCGCAAUUUAUACACGGGAGAUCGAGUUCCGAGUCCUACUGGGGGUGGGGGAGGCGCGCUUGUUUGCCCAGUCCGCCGCCGACUGUAACUCGUUUCCAAGCCUAGCUGGUACACUGACGAACAACAAGUCAGAAAGCCGACGAUUCCUGCUCGGAGUUGGCGGGUUGGCGGGCCUUUUCUCUCUAGGAUCUCACCAGGCCUCAAAAUACCCGGGCCAGUACAGCAGAAGAGGCCCAUCGCUACCACCCCAAUACAUGCAUACGACCAGCGUUCACUAAUGGGCCCCAUCCCUGUCUGCACGGACGACGAUAGAAGUUGGCCCGAAAUCAACACGGCUGGGCCUGGGCUGUGCAUCACAGAACCCUUUUUUUCUUUGGCGACGAACAAAACCCCUCGCCACUACUACUUAGCCACGCAUGAUGAUGAUGAAUUUACGUUUGAUGAUUGCUUGUUGAUCAAUCAGUCGAUCGAUCGAUCUGCGGAGUACUCUGACGGAAGGAAAGCUAACCCUCUCCGCCGGCGCCGGCGCCACCGCAAUGUGGUUCACCUCCCGUCGCAAACCCAACGCCGCCGAACCUUCCGAGGAUGCACCGUCGUCCUCCUCGCCACGCAGCUCGCAACCCCGCGGCUACUCCCUCCGCAUCUCAUCCUCCAACCCCUGCCCCCAAACCCAGAGCUCCCGCGACGGAGCCCUAGCCUCCGCCACCUCCUCCUCCGCCGCCGCCUGCGACCUCGGCGGCGGAUGGGGGAACUCCGUAGGCCGCGGCGGCGGCGGCUUCCUGUGGUGGAUCUUCUCCGCCGGAGCGGCGCGCGCGGACGAGGGGAAGCCGGCGGGGGCCGACUGGGACGCGCACGGGCUCCCGGUCACGCGCACACCGGUGCCGCUCUCCAGGCUCGACGGGAGGAAGCGGUACAAGGUCUCCGAGCUCAACUUCCUUGACUGCCGCGCCCGGGACCGCGCCAGCGCCCGGGACCGCGCCAGCGCCGCGGAGAAGAACCCCUUGUUCGACGACAUGGCCAAGCUGCGCCCCGGCGGCGUGUACACCCGGUCGCAGCUGCUCGGGCAGCUCCAGGCGAUGACCUCCUCCGGCAUGUUCGAGCAGGUCAGCCUCCAAGGGAAGCCCAAGCCGGACGGCACGCUCGCGCUCACCGUCACCUACGCCGAGAACAUCUGGCCUGGAGCCACCAAACGGCUCAAGUGCGUCAACGUUGGACUCAUGGCGCCGCCCGACGCUGGCCCUGCUGAGGACAUGACGGCGAGGGAGAAGAUGGAUUACAUCCGGAGGCAGGACCAUGACUACCGGCAGCGAAUCCGCAGCGCCAAGCGGUGCAUUCUACCGGAGUCUGUGCGCGAGGAGGUGCUGGGGAUGGUGAAGAAGCAGGGGAAGUUGACCGCCGGGGUGCUGCAAAGGAUGAGGGACCGCGUCGAGAAGUGGUACCACGACGAGGGCUUUGUGUUCGCCCUGGUGCAGAACUUCGGGAACCUCGACACCGACGAGGUUGUGUUGGAGGUGGUAGAGGGGGACAUCACCAUGGUGGAGUACCAGUUUCAGGACAAGCUUGACAAUAUCGUCGAGGGGAACACUCACAUCGCUGUCGUUGACCGGGAGCUGCCCCAGCAGGUAUGUAUAUAUAUAUAGGCAAUUUUCCUUACUACAUCAACAUCAGUUCCAUGGUUAAUUAACAUGUUCUGUUCGAGAUGUCUAUGGAUGAAUUGUUGUUUAAUGUGCCACGAGUUGAUUGGUUCGAUGUAUUCUAUUACGAUUCUCAAACACAUUUACUCUGACCUGAUAUGCUUUCUUGCAACCAUGUAAUUUACCUUCUGCCUUUCUUACACUGUGCAGCUUCGACCUGGCCAUAUCUAUAACAUUGGGGCAGGGAAACAAGCUCUGAAGCAUAUCAAUUCACUCGCUUUAUUCUCCAAUAUAGAAGUGAACCCUCGCCCUGACGAGACAAAAGAAGGGGGUGUAGUGGUUGAAAUAAAACUCAAGGAACAUGAACCAAAGUCGGCCGAAGUAACUACAGAGUGGAGCAUUGUACCUGUGCAUCAAGGGAGACCAACUCUUGUAAGGCACCACUUAUUUGUAACCUUUUUUCCUUCUUCUCUGCAGAAUCUGUACCUUGAAUGAUAGAAAACAUCAUAAAUAUAUAACCGCCAAUCAUUAUAAAUCCAUGUUUCACAACCCAUCUCACGGAAACUUUCUUUUUAGGCAUCAAUUCAACCUGGAGGAACUGUGUCAUUUGAGCACCGCAACAUCUCUGGUUUAAACAGAUCUCUUGUCGGUUCUGUUACUUCCAGCAACCUGCUCAAUCCUCAGGUGAGUUGGUACUGAGUUCUUUUAUUGAAAACAGAAGCUUUGAUGCAAUGUUGCUUUGGUUUACAAUUACAUCUACAUUCGCUCUGAUCUGCUUGUACUAAAUUAGCUGAAUUGUCACUUAUAACCGUCUCAGUCUUCCUUUGUAACUAUAUGUUUCGAGUCAUAUUUCAAUUAUCAUUAUUACAUGAAGUGUGGAACUCAGUUGAGUGUCUUCUGCAUUGAAAUGUGAAACAUUGCAGACUUUAAUUGCCAUUCUGCUGCAAUCUGAAAUAAGUAAAUAAAAUUAUACCCUUGUUUCAUGAUUUAAAAACAUUUAGUUUAUAAAAUGUACUGGUAUGGUUUACAAGGCAUAUGUUUCAUUUUUAACUGAUCCGUUAUAUUUGUAUUUACGGCAUGUUUCUUUUGGGAUAUCAGGAUCAUCUCUCAUUCAAGCUUGAGUAUGCCCAUCCUUAUUUGGAUGGUGUGGACGACCGUAGUAGAAACCGCACCUUCAAAGCUAGCUGCUUCAACGUCAGGAAAUUAAGUCCUGUCUUUGUUGCUGGCCCCAACAUGGAUGACGCUCCACCUAUCUGGGUUGAUAGAGUUGGAAUUAAAGCCACUAUAACAGAGGUUUGCACAGAUUGAUAUUACCUUCUUCAUCUUUUGAUUUUCAUAAAUAUCUACUCCCAAGAUAUAUUUUUAACAUGAGGAAACUGCAUUUGGAAAUUUUUUCAGAGCUUUACAAGGCAGAGCAAAUUCACUUAUGGCCUCGUGUUGGAAGAGAUUAAAACACGCGAUGAAGAUAACAACAUAUGCACACAUGGUUCUCGAGUAUUGCCUAUUGGUGCAUUGAACAUGGAUGGACCUCCCACAACCUUCAGUGGUACCGGUGUAGAUCGAAUGGCAUUUCUACAAGCUAAUAUAACUCGAGACAAUACUGAGUUUGUAAACGGGGCAACUAUUGGUGACAGAUGUAUAUUCCAGGUGGGGUGUUUUGUUCUCAGUGAAUUUUCAAUUGUUGCUGGGUGUUUAAAACCAAAUUGACUGCACUGUGCCAAAAGGAGAAAGCCAGCUCCUUACACAACUGAUGUUUCUGUUUUCGUAUGAGGCUGCUGCACAAUGCAUAAUGCUGACUGUUUAGGCACAUUUUAGCAAAUGUUAUCAUUACAAUUUUUUUAGAAUCAAGGUAUUCUUGUUUAUGUUAUAAUUGCUUUUCAGUUAUAUUUUAAAUAUCUGGGUUAGUUCUUGUUUAACAGCAUCAUGUGUUUAUAGAAAGUUCUCCAUGGUAAAGUAAAUCCACUUAUAAUUUUCUUGUGGGCCGCAGUUGGACCAAGGUCUUGGCAUUGGAAGCAAAAAUCCAUUCUUCAACCGUCAUCAGCUUUCAGCGACAAAGUUCAUUAAUUUGAAUAAGCAAGAUAAAGGUGCUGGCAAGCCACCACCAGCAAUUUUGGCGAUUCAUGGUCGCUACGCAGGCUGUGUAGGAGAUCUGCCGAGCUAUGAUGCAUUUGCAAUCGGAGGACCUCACUCUGUUAGGGGCUAUGGCAUGGGAGAACUGGGUGCUUCCAGGAAUCUUCUUGAGGUGAGCAUCAAACUAUCGAUCCUCAGGGGGAUUUGGCACUUACUCUGAAUCAUGAUGCAUAGUUGUUAUCGCUGUUCAUGUCGUAGUCGUGGAGGUUUUGCUUUUCUUCGGAUUUGUUUUGAAUCUUAUAUCCAUGCAGUUUGCCACUGAGUUGCGUGUCCCCAUCACUGUGAAGAACAAACAAACGCAGGUGUAUGUAUUUGCUGAGCAUGGCACUGACCUCGGGAGUUCCAAGGACGUGAAGGGCAACCCUACAGAGUUCUUCCGACGCGCAGGCUCUGGGUCCUCCUAUGGCAUUGGUGUCAAGCUCGGCACGGUAAGGGCGGAGUACGCUGUAGAUCACAAUGCUGGUACGGGAGCCUUCUUCCUGAGAUUUGGCGAAAGAUUCUGAAGGCCGCGUCUCUGUCCAGCUUGACGAUCAGAAAGCCCUAUGUAAAUUCGACUGCCAACUUUCUAGAAUAAAAUUAACUCGUGAAGAUAUAACGUCACUGAAUCUUGUAGCAGCAAGGCCCGCGUUAUGAAUGGUUGAGAGUAAAGUCAGAUUCAACUGGAAUAAGAGUUUCGUUUUGAUGGAAGGAUGUCAUUGUACUCUCUUCCUCCGUGGAACUGUACUAGAUGGUAGUCUCGGAGUAUUAUCUUGAACUUGGUAACUAAACCUAUUGAGUGUUAGGAGGAUAAAACUCUUCUCUCAAACUAGAACUUGUGCAUUCACGAUGCAUCCGACAGCUUGCAUCUGUCAGGUGCACGAGAGCACCAGAUGUACUCGGAGCACCCGAUCUUCUCUUACAUCAUUUUUUAAUCUAAAUUGCACAAAUUUGAUAAAUUUGGGCUUUGGGUGAUUUCGAAAUUGCUAUCGCAUUUUCUAGAAUUUAAAAAGUUAUGAUUUAAUCAAAAAUUCAUAACUAACUUAUUUCAAAUCUAAAAAAUAUGAAGUUGGUACAAAAUUUUUCUAAAAAUGUAGGCUAUUUGUUCAUACUCUAUUUGAAAUUGUUUACAUCAUAUUUGUUACUAAACCUAGUGUUAUAUUGUUUUUAAUAAAACACAAGGAACAUGAACAAUCUAGUUUUAAAUAAUGCUAAAUAGUACACCAACAGAUAGUUUACAUUUUUAGAAAAAUUUUGGCACCAAUUUAAUAUUUUUCUGAUUUGAAAUGAAUUAGUUAUGAACUUUUUAAUUAGAUCUAAACUUUUUAAAUUUCUAAAAAAUUGCAAACCACUCCUAAAACUAUCCAAAUGGCUAAAUUUAUCCGGUUUUGACAUAUGAAUGGCCCUCCGUGUCCAGUUUUGUAGUUGUCAGUAUAGACAUGUGUCACAUCACUUUAUUAAUGAAGUAAAAAUUCCUACAAAACCUUCGCUGCAAAUGGCCUUACCGCCUCCCGAUUAUCACCGUUUGUUGUUACCUUUUUCUUUUCCAUUGCUAUGUUUGUCCUCCUCGCCUUUGUGCUCCCCACGUUAGGUGAAUUUUCAAACCUUUAAGGCUAAGAUUGGGAGCCCUUUGUUUUCUCAUUUUUUUAAAACAAAAGAAGAAGAAAAUGAAAAGCGGCUUUACCUGCACAACUGCAGUUUUGGCUAGAAUUUACUCCUAUGUCGAGUAAUUGCUCAUGUAGUGUCGCGGCAUCUUCCAUCGCUUCGACUCCUAUGCAUUAACGCAUGGGAACGCAGCAAUCGGAAAGUUCAGUCUUGAGUGCGGCUGCCUUGGACGGUGCAGGGUGGAGAGCGGGGAGGCUUUGCAUGCAUGGAGUUAAUUAUUAAUGGGCUAAUGGCCGCCUAACCUUCUCCGUUCUGCUUGUGAUAAAACUGAAUCGGCGGCGCAUGCCGGACACCCGUUAUAUAGACCAAACAUGCUUAUGACUAAAAUAAGCUGAAGCUGAAACUAGUAGCCAAACGGUAUACUUUUUUCAGCUUCUUCUGUCUGCGCUUCUCUCCACAGGUUCCAUUUGUUUUCCUAUAUUAGUACAGUUUAUUUGAGAAGCAGCUCCCGCAGCAGUACCGUCGUAACCACACGCCCGGCGGAAAGCCUGGGAAAGCAUAGUACCAGCAAAGGAGUCGCCGGAGCCGCCCGCGAUGACGAAGUACGUCACGCUCUCCGUCCGGGACGAAGAGUACCGCGAGAUCACCCGCACCAUGCGCACGACCGACAAGCUGCACACCCUCAUCGAUUUCUACUACGACAUGGUGCCCGCCGUCGCGUACGGCGAGGGGGCCUUCCUGCACCGCGGCGAGCCGGUCGACAGGAUGAAGACGCCGGCGGACUACGGGAUGCGCGAUAGGGACGAGCUCGCCUUCUCGUCGCAGAUCGACUCGAGCACGUUCCUCACGCUGACCGUGCGGGAAGAGGAAGGGCUCGGGUCCUUCUCCCUCACCUUGCGAACGACCGACCAGCUGCGGGACCUGAUGGACUUCUGCUACGAGAUGGUGCCCACCGUCGACUACGGCGACGGGGUCUUCCUGUUCAACGGCAGGCGGGUUAAAGGCCACCGGACUCCGGAGGAGCUCGGUAUGGUGGAUGGCGAUUGGAUCGGUGUUACUUUCAGAGUUCGUUACUGAACGUCGUCGGGCUGCUUCCGCUGAACCGGCACCGCCCGUAUGUUGCUGCACUUUUCGUUGUGUAAGCAGCUGCUACUUGCGUGCAUCUAAAUUUCACGCAUCUUUUGUUCCAAAAUUUAUCGAUAUCCAUGAAUCGAUCCCUCUCACUCAUCUCACCGUGCUUAUGAUGUACUGAAAUAUGUCAUGGUUACCUAUUCUAGAGUAUCGAGUUUAAAGCCAAAAAAUAUGUAGUAUGUCAAUGUGACUUGAAGUGACAUGAUUCAACACUUUACACAAAAGCAUGGUCGUGCAACUUGAUUGAAUUGAUUCACAUUUUGUGAACAAAAACUAAUUCAACAAUUUCAAUGACCUGAUCUAGCGUUUUGUUAAACUAAUCGAUUCAACAUUUUAUAUCAAACUGUUUAGAAUGUUGAACUAGCGCGCUCAAACUUCUGAACUUCCUACGAUCGGAUCGGCCCAACCACAGCCCUAAACGGUCCGGCCCAGGGCGGCCUCGGUCGGUUGCCCUCUCGCCCAGCACGGGACCAUACCCGGUGCAGCGAAUAGGGUAUCCUCCCGCCGCCGCACUCUCUUCGUCCCGGAUCGAUCCCCAUUCCAUUCCCCACCCGGCUCCAGCACGGAACUUUCCUCUCUCUAGGGUUCCCCCCCUAUCCCCCUCGAGUCUCGACCGUACCAGGUAAAUUACAGGUCCACCCGUCCCGCGUUCGGUCCGAUCCCGUGAUUCGAGCCUUCGCGCAUCGAUCCGGGACUCUUCCGCCCGCAAAUUUCCCCGCGGCGGAGUUUCGCGGCCUCUUUGUAUUUGGGCCAUUCGAGUUGAUUAUUUUGGAGGAUUGAGUGUGCGUUGUUAGAUUUUUUGUGCGACGACUGCGGUGUGUUAAUUGGAGGUUGAAAGAAUUGUAGCUGUUUUGAGGCGGCAAGCGAGUGCUGCAGAAGCAUCACAUCUGCGCCGAGGCAUGGAUAAGGAGCUCUUCGCCAACGACGGCUCCUUCAUGGAGAGGUUCAAGCAGAUGCAGCAGGAGAUGCAGGAGAAGGAGAAGGCCGCUGCUACUGAAGCCUCAUCGGCUCCCAAGCACGGGAGCUCCAAGCCGGGGUUUGCUGUUGCGGCGAACAAGAGGCCGUUCGAGCUGAAGAAGGCUGGUCCAGUCGCCACGGGCGGGAAGCUGGCCUUUAGCCUGAAGAAGGCCAAGGUCGCGGUCGCCCCUAUUUUUGCGGCCGACGAAGAGGAAGAGGAUGUGGAGAGGGAGGAGCCUGCCAAGCGCCACAAGUCUGUGCAAGCUGAUGCUCCUGUGGCAGCUACCCCGGCAGGGGCUGUUGGUAAUCAUUUAUUUAUUAAUUCAUUCAUUCAUUUAUUGCUGUUAUAAUAUAAAAAAUUAUUAGUGGUUUCCCAUUCUUUGGAUUUUUUGUUGGCGUUCUGUGGGUGUAGUUGCUAUCAAAUGAUAAGAUAGAAAUAUGCGACAAGAAUUUUAAUUCAAUAAUUGUCCUAGAACAUCAGCUAUAUAUUGCCUCUUAUCUUUUUUGCUUUUGAAUUCAUUCCCCAUAUAUGUGACAUAUCAUAGGUUUUACUCUUGAGAUGACUUCUAAUUUGGUAUCCCAUACCCCAAUUAAUACCACCGACACAUAUGGUUAUAUUGUCAUUUUUUAAUACAUUUUUCUGUUCCAUGCAUUUGAGGGUGUUAUCCUGAGUCCUGACAGUAUUGCAUUCAUAUUGAUAGUGAAACGAACUAACUAGAUACUUUUUAUUUCAUUUGUCACAUACUGAUUUAACUAGAAAGUAGCACUGCGUUGCAUAUGCAUUUUUAGUGAAAUUAUUACUUGUAGGACUGCUUGGAUGUCAAGUAUAUUUUGGUUUCGUAUGGUUUCUAUAAUAUGUCAUAGCAUAAAAACUUUUAGGUGUUGGUAUACAACUAACAGUGUACAAAUGUAGUAUUCCAACCACCAUGUUAUUUUGGAGUUUAUGAAGGAAACCCAUUAAACACCUCUUUUUCCUAAAAAGUAAACACGAGGCAUGCUACGAUUUCCCUUUCUCACCACAUGCGAAGUAUUUAGCAUUCCUGUCUAAUUUCAUGCAGUACUAUCAGUAAACACAUUCCUAAUGUGACUAAUCUGAAUUGCAUACAUUCAUUUUGGAUUGUUCACAGUAUUACUUUAGCCUUUUUUUAUCUCCAUAUAUAUAAAGUAUUGUUAUAAUUAGCCUACCCCAACUUGCUUGGAACUGAAAGGCUAUGUUGUUGUUGUUGUUAUUGUUAUAAUCAAAGCUAACUGCAUUCAAAUAGGCAAAUAGUAUGUAUGUAUGUAUCAUGCUUUAUUUAGUUUUCCUCUGUUGGAUAGUUCUUCUAUAUACUGUAGAAAAUGGUGGUUUUCACAAUUUAUGUUGUUUCAGUUCCCAUGUAUUAAAAAUAUGGUUUUCAAAAACUCUGCUUUGAAAUGUUCCUGACAUCAAAACACAUCCUUAUAGUAUUGAUUUCAUGCAUUUACAAAUGAUAAAAAUGGAUCUAGAAAGCAACAAAUUGCAAUGCACAUUGGUGUUGGAAUCGACCAUCUAACAGUGUUUAAUAAUUUUUUAAAACUAUCCAAGAAAAUUGCUUGCUGUUGCACAACGUGAUUUAAACCCUCCGUUUAUGCUUGGCUCAUACGUUGUUAGGUUUACAAAAGAAACAUCUUUCUCAGUGUUUGGGUUCAUUAUAAGUCAGGCAGCAGAAAGUCGUGAAGGUUUUGUUUUUUUUUUCCGAUAACUGCAGCUUAUAGAUGAACUGUAUUGGCAUUGCCAGGAAGGAUAUGAUUGAAAGAGUUGGAGACUCUACUGCAGUAAUUUGCAUUGCCUUGUCAAUAUGCUUGAUAUUAAUAGUUCUUUAAGUGACAUGCAGCCCCACCCCCACCAAAUGAUAUGACAGUGAAGCAAGUUGCUGACAAAUUGGCAAGUUUUGUUGCAAAAAAUGGGAGACAAUUUGAGAAUAUCACACGGCAGAGGAAUCCUGGAGAUACACCAUUCAAGUACGACUGCACUACUUAUUUUUCUGAUAAACUCUGUUUUACUUUUAAAUUCUAAAAUCUGACUUUAAUAAAUUAUUGAUAUAAAUCUUGGGUUAUUUGCAGAUUUCUAUUUGACAAACACUGUCCAGACUACAAAUAUUAUGAGUUUCAGCUUGCUGAAGAGGAAAAGGCUCUUGGUCAGUCAAAGGAUGCUGAAGCAUCAAAAAAUGGUUUGUGGCACAAUUUUUUUAAUCAUUUUCUAUAUCUAAAAGUUCUAUAAAAGUCUUGAUGCUAUAUACUCUUGUUAAUGUAGCUAGUUCUAGCACUGCAAGCUUCAAAGCACCAAGUGGUCCGUAUAAAAGCUCAUUUGAACAAAAGUCCAACUAUCAGACACCUGCAUCAGCUUUGUAUGGGGCAUAUGAGGGUAGUUCUUCCCAAGGAAGCUCAUCUAGUUAUGGUAAAAUAUACAUACAUGGUUUCCUUUAUCAAAUGUUAUAUAUCUACAUUCUCUAUGUUCCUGGACUGUUCGCCUGUUUACAUUUGUUUGAGUUUGCAUUUUGCAAGUCAUCCAAAUCAGGCACUUCUAUUGCCUUAGUAUCUUAUUGUUAUUUCUGAUGUCUUGAAUAUUAUGUUUCAUCCUUGUAGCUUCAAUGAAUAGAUAUAUUGUAGGGUUUCUGUUGUGAACCAUUAAAACCCUACUGCCUGUCAUCUCCCUGAUCUAUAGUUUGCUUUAGGAGUAAAAACCAUUGCUUCCUAUCUUGAACUGUUUCUUGUUAUUAUAUGUGCUUAAUGCUAGUUCAUCAUUUUGCAGGUGAUCACAAUACAUCUGCACCGUCAGAUCCUGUAGCUUUGAUGGAAUUCUAUGCGAAGAAGGCUGCACAGGAAGAACGGAAGAGGCCACUAAGACAGUCAAAAGAUGAAAUGCCGCCACCUCCUUCUCUUCAAGGUACAUUUUUUGCAACAUGAUUUGCCGUACUGGAAGAACAUAAAAACUUCAAUAUUUGUUCUACAACUAAAAAUUCUUGUUUUGCAGGUCCUCCUAAGAAGGGACACCACAUGGGUGACUUCAUUCCUCAAGAAGAACUUGAAAAGUUCAUGGCACGCUGUAAUGAUGCUGAAGCACAAAAGGCUACGAAAGAAGCUGCCGAGAAGGCUAAGAUUCAGGCAGACAAUAUUGGCCACAAACUUCUAUCUAAGAUGGGUUGGAGGGAAGGUCAGUCAUUGAUGAAUACUAAAUAACAUAGUCACCAUUACAGUAAUUCUCUGAUCAAACCCUGUCAGAUCUUUUUUUCAAAGUCCCAGAUGUUUAUGGCAACAGUACAUCAACCCCUCUGACCUUGACCGUCAUAUUCAUCCAACAAACCUUAAAAAAUUGUCAAAUUAUGCUGUUAACAAAGCCUUCCAUCCCAAAUACCAGAUAUAAGAACUAUUUACAAUGGAUCCUUUUUCCUCAGCAUUGUCCUGCAUGCAUUAAUUCUCAAUAUCCCUACCCGGUGGAACCUUUUUUGUCAGGCACAUAGGAAGGCAAUUAGCGAUAAUAUGCACCAUUCCACUUCCAGGUGUUAAAUAUAAUUUACUGUGCAGGUGAGGGUCUUGGUAGUGAGAGAAGAGGCCGUGCGGAUCCCAUUAUGGCUGGAGAUGUGAAGAAGGAUCAUCUUGGUGUUGGUGCUGUCAAGCCUGGUGAGGUCACAUCUGAAGAUGACAUCUACGAGCAAUACAAGAAGAGAAUGAUGCUUGGAUACCGCUAUAGGCCAAACCCUCUGGUAUAUUUGCUGCCAUUGUCUACUUCCAGGAGUUGUAUGUUAUUUCUGUUUGCCUAAACACUUCUGCUAUUUUUGCAGAACAAUCCAAGGAAACAAUAUUACUGAUACAGGUUAGUUCAUCUAAGAUGUAAGACACCAAUUUUGCUGUAUUUUUGCUCACAUAACUAACAGCUAGGGAGUAUGACUAACAGCAUUGAAAGUUUUUGUUCAUCAGCAGAAAAACUAAGAAGCUCAUUUAGUCAGCAUAUAUCUUGGAAUGCCACAGAUCUGAGGCUUACGGGGGGUUCAACCGUAGCUUUGUUCUUUGUGUAGUGUUGAUCUUUGUUGCUUUAAAUUCACUUCCAUGGUGAUGUGUUGAAACGUGGAGCAUAGUUUCAUAAUGUGAUGUAUUGCCUUCUUGGAUGACAACAUAUCUUUCCUGAUUAUUCAUCUUUUUGUUGGGAUUUAUUGCCGCAAUAUCAUAUUUCCAUACUGGGAGGCAUAAUCUAAAAGUCUGUUGCAAUGGUUCUAUUUUAUUCUGGAUUCUGGAAUUUGAAUAGCUAUGUGGAACGUGAGUGUCGGUACGGAAGCUAUUACUUACUGGCAGCAUAUAACUUGGCGUUAUUUCUGUAGGAGUUAAAAUUCUGUUAUGCUCUCUGCCACUCUGAUGUGCUGAAUUAAUGGGUUACUUUGAUUGUGAUCUAAGCGCUUAUGGCCUGAUGGGCUAAUCUUAUUACACGGUUUUAUUGCAUAGUUACUUAGAUUGAAAACUAGGUAAUAGUGCUAGAUGAGUGUUAUGGGGAUUAAACUCAUUUCUUGUUUGAUGAAACUAUCUUUAUUCAUUACCUUGCCAAGUUAGGUCUCGUUCGUUUCAUCAGGAUUGGAUUCCAGCCAGGAUUACUUCCAGGUCCGGUUUGAGUGAUUCCACCCGUGUCACUCAAUCCGGCCAGGAUUCAUUCCAGGGGUGAGGAGUUAUGGUUUCAAUCCAGGCCAUCUAAUGUAGUAGGAUUCCAAUCCAGAUCGGUUUUCGUUCCAGGCAAGACUAAAACGAACAACACUUUCAAUGCAAGUCUGGUUUCAAACCGGACCAAUUCAAACCACCCGGAAUGAACCUCAUUCCGGGCCAAUCCGUGAAAACGAACAGGCCUUAGCAAUUUUGGUGUGGCAUGAACUCUCGUGAAACAGACUGACCUUACUGUUAUGCUCUCUGCCUCUCGGUCUCGGAUGUGCUGCAUUAAUGGGUGACGUUGAUUGGAAACCACAGUAAGGGAGACAUAAAUUUAUAUUUUAGGAAAAUAUCGUAAAGUUUGCACAAGCGUAUCUAUUACUCUAUAUUAAUGUUGCUAGACUAGACGAAAUCUCAGAGGCUGAGCUACUGUUCACCGACGCUGGUACGUGGGUCCGAAAUCCAAUCAGUUAUGAAAAAAAAAAAAAGAAGAAGAUUCGAGAGUCCACAGGUCUCGGUCCUCCACGACCACGAAGAAUCGGCGAACUCCAUUUGCCUAGCCGCACCUAUCGCCGUUGGUCCGCUCCGCACGCUGGGGCCGCCGGCUCGCUCCGGCGCCCGCUCCCUCGACCGGCGGAUCGCGCCGCCGCCCGCUCGAGCAGCCGCAUGCGCCGCCCGGUGGGAAUGUGAGAGCACAUCAGCAACCACCGGCGGCCGUCAACACCACUUGAAUCUUGGCAUGGAGAGAGAGAAAGAGAGAACAGAGCUGUGCAGCGCAAAAGUCUGGACAACCAACCGAAUCAGGCCACCGGCGUCGGCUCUGCCAUUGCUUCCACCGAUAGACUUCCAGAGCAGUCUGCCACCGUGGCCUCUCACUACCCUCUCUAGAGCAACCAGCAGCCGUGGCUCCGCGCUCACCGAGCCCAAAAAUGAUGGCCUUCUAGCUGCAGGCAAGACCUCAAUCCGCAGGAAUCAAAUUCACUCUCCAAGUCUUUGUAGCUUUUGUGGAUGGAUGGGGGAGAGAGAGAGAGAGAUUGCCAUGGGGAUGACCGGAUGACUAGAUGAAGGGAUAAAGGGCACAGUGCACUUAAAAAAGAAAGAAAAUAGGCCUUUUAGACGCUUUCCUCACUGGCUUUUUACAAAACAGGAGGGGAUCCCUUACUAAUUACUAUAUUAAGCAAAACAAAGAGAAAGUAUGUACAAAAGAAAAGAUAUUUAGCGAAUGAAAGAAAAAUUACAGCAGAGUAUGCAACCGUCGUACUUCAAUGGGAAAAUAGGAUUUCUUUGCUAAAUAAUGAUUCAGAGCAAAUAAAUGCAUAAAAAUCUCUUUCAUCUAGAGGAACGGCAUGAAUUUGAAUUCUGGUUUCAUUCUGAUUUGUUUCCUAAUUUUGUUCAAUACUCAAUACUAUAAUAUAUACUUAUAGCAAAGUAGAGAGAUUACAUAUGUAACUCUUUCCGUUAUUGCUUUGAGUUAAUAUUUUUGUACAGGCGCGCAUCGCGCGCCAAUCUAUCUAGCAUGGCACUUGGUGAGAUACGAAAGUUGACAAGUAGGGCCCAUUCUUGCCCCCCUUGUCUCACCAUCUCGUAUCUCGCGGCUGGCUCACUUGAACUACCAUGUGCUGGGCACCUGAAGCUGAAAUGCUGAAAGCGAAGCGCCCGCCGCCCGCAGCGAUCAGAGCGCCGGUACAGGAAUCUCUCACGCAGUCACGCUGCUGAUCGCCUCCCUCCCCAGUCCUCACUGAUUGCGCUUUGCCUCUGGCCCGGCCGGGGCCCCGGGCCUCAUGCAUGUCCAGUCACGCCCACCAAACGGAACGCAGCCAUCUUUUUGUAAUAAGCACCAAGUUGGCGGCGUUAACAAUGCGGGAUAAUCCGCUGGAUCAUCAUCGGGGACGCUGGCCUGGUUUGAUGACCUGGACGAAUAUCAUCGAGCUACCAAUCUUGGAAGAGAAGUCUGGAGGCGCAUGCUGUCGGGUGUCAGCCUGUCUCCACCGCUGGCCGCCUCGCUGUCAGCUGUACUGCACUGCACCCGGUCACUCAUUCACUGGCCGGUAGGCAAGCUUGAGGCUCAAGUAGCCGCCAUAAGCCUCCAUUGAGUACUCCUGCCAGCAUCACUGCCCAGACCUCCAGAUUUGUGGAGUGACGGUAGUAGCAGGUUACUUCUGGUAGGAAAUCGAAACCAUUCAGGACCAACGCCUGUCCGCUGGCGACAACGAAAAGCCGUUAUGGCGAGCGAUCGAUCCUGGUCUGGUUACAGUUAAGCGCGCCUCGGGUGUUAGGAUACCCCAUGCUAAAGUUUAGCACAUGUCACAUCGGAUGUUUGAUGCUAAUUAGGAGUAUUAAACAUAGGCUAAUUACAAAACUAAUUGCACAAAUAGAGUCUAAUUCAUAAGACGAAUCUAUUAAGCCUAAUUAGUCCAUGAUUUGACAAUGUAGUGCUACAGUAACUAUUUGCUAAUGAUGGAUUAAUUAGGUUUAAUAGAUUCAUCUCGCGAAAUAGCAUAGGGGUUUUGCAAUUAGUUUUAUAAUUAGUUCAUAUUUAGUCCUCCUAAUUAGCAUCCGAACAUCCGAUGUAACACUGCUAAAGUUUAGCAUCCAGUAUCAAACACCCGUCGUCGGUCUGACUGCUCCGAACGUUGUCGUUCCACCGGCCCCGAGAUCAUUCCCGGCUGCCUCGCAGCUGUGCGCGCGCUGGCGACCGCCUACCGGCCGCCAUGAUACGAGCCGCGCCGCGGACGUCAGGUUCGGCCGCUCGUCUCGUGGCGGCCGGUGGAGACUGGAGAGGUGACCUCGAGACAAACCAAUCCAGGAGGCCGCGGUGGUUGGCCACUCGCGAUCCGACCCGCGCGGGUCCCCCCGUGAAGUUCCCCCUUCGAGAUCGCGAGCCAAAAAUAUCGCAUCCCCGGCCGGCCGGCCCAGCUCCAACCUCCAACAGGAAGCAAAAAAAAAUCAACGGGCUUGUGGCGGUCGCGGUCUCGGGGAUCCGUCGGCCGGAGCGGCCGAACGAUCGCGUGUGGCGGCACGCCGCGCCGGGGACAUGAGGCGUCGGGCCGCGUGGAAGUGGAGGCGUGCGUGCUCAUAAAUGAGCACGCCUAGAAGCGGCCAGGAGUCCAGGACGGCGUGGUCGUCGUGUCACGGGCACUGCGCGCACGCCAGUGCCGUCCAUCACGUACCGUCGGCCGUGCGUUCUCUUUGCAGCGGCACGGUUUGGACACCGGAGGAAGUACGUGACAGGAUUUGGCAUGCGACCACUCGCACCGUACUUUGUAAAAAAGAUCAAGUAGCGUGGCGCAUUUCGGUUCCAGGCUUGGAUUACUCGCCGAGAUAGGCCGGGUGACAAGAUUAGGCUAGCUAGGGUAUGAAUGAGUGGUCGCAUUUUUCACUUUAUGGGUUUUUUAGAUCGCUUCCAGUUCAAAUUAUUCGUGAACCGAUCUAUGGACCGUCGAGAAGUUCAAACUGGAUUCCGAAGUAUUCGAAUCCAAAUCUCGGCGUGGCCGUGACCGUGACCAAACAGCCCAAGUGGGCGAGCUGCUGCUGCUGACCCGGCCGCGCAACCGCCUCCACAUGACCCAUCUCAUCUCAGGCUCUCCGCGGCUGGCACCCCACGUGCCGGCGCUGGCCUGACACCUUGGCGCAUGGGCGCGGCGCCCACCCGGCCAGCUCCGGUUGGGUACACCCGGUCCUUGCUUGACGGUGGAACAAAAACACGGCCGGCCCGGCAGCGUACGCGCUGCUGAUAAAAAGGCUAGCGACCGGGUAAAUUGUCGCGGCAUUUUGUCGGGUUAGACCGGCGCACCGUAGAUCGGUUCAUGGACCCCUGGUGACCUAGCGUCAUAGCUCGUCAUUUAGACAUAGGCAAAAGAAGAUCUUCAUAGAAGAAUGUGUUAGAAAAACGGAAAAACUCCAUCCUUAUUAGUCACUUGGGAAGCGUGCUACGACAAAUAAAAAAGAUGGCAAGCGACAGAUAAAAAGGGACGGAGAGAGUAUACGGUAACAGAGAUGCAUGCUGUUAUGUUUAUUUUACUACACUAUACCUAUCAAGAUCUUUAUAACAUUUUCGGAGUAAUAAAUGUAACCCUUAUUUUCUAGCUACCAGGUGACUCCUAAAUUUCGAACACAUAUUGUUAUAUUGUUGUACAAGGUUCAUUUUGCUCUUAUGAACCUACAUUGCAAAUUACAAUAGGGAUUUAUGUGUGAUUGUAUGACUUACGGACACAUGCACCAAAGAUUAUUCGAGCCAGUGAUGACCGAACUCACUUGGAUGAGAUGCAAGGGGAAAGAUGAAGUUAUGUUUUGGGGAUUACACCAAGUGUCGUUGUACGGACGAUGUAAACGGCUCCGUGCAGUUUUUUUUCUUUGGCACAAAGGCAUCAUUUUGUCAUAGAUAAAAUAAGUGUUUGUUUAAUUCAAGGGUAUGCAGCCUCAACAUUUACCUUGGUUCGUAAGGAUUUUGAUUCAGUUCCAUUCCUGUGAAUGCUUCUUUUUGUUCGAAAAAUUAAAAUGCAGAUAUCGUGCUUAGGAAGAAUACCGGACGGCUGGCAGUAACAAAUCAUACAGUAUUUGCCUUCUAUAAAGGCAGCUGGAGACUGUUCUCCGAAAUAAAUCAUAGCGGCUUAGGAGUGUUUGAUACGAGGCGCUAAACUUCAGCAGGUCAUAUCGGAUGUUUGGAUACUAAUUAUAAAGGUCAAACACGAGCUAAUUACAAAACUAAUUGCACAGAUGGAGUCUAAUUCGCAAGACGAAUCUAUUAAAGCUAAUUAAUCCAUCAUUAGCAAAUAGUUACUGUAGCACCACAUUACCAAAUUAUGAACUAAUUAGACUUAAUAGAUUCAUCUCACGAAUUAGACUCCAUCUGUACAAUUAGUUUUGUAAUUAGACUAUAUUUAAUAAUUUAUAAUUUGUAUUAAACAUGCCAUAUGACAGGUACGGGUAUCCAAACACCUCCUCUCCUUUCCUCUUGGUAUGUUUAGCAGUUACCCCUGGCGAAGCCGUUUCGUCGACGUGCCGUGGUUUAACGGACGGGACGGGGACGGCCGGCUCACGUGAACAACGCCCACGAGGCCGCGCUGGCUCUUGUAAAAGCAACCGCUCCCUCCCUAGACGCUAGUGCCUCUUUCCUCUCUCCUCCGCCCCUUUUUAUCGCCCGAUCUCACACAUUUUGGAAAGAGGAGAGAGAGAGAACGCCCAGCCAAACAGCCAAGGAAACAAACCGCGGCGAGAGGCGGAGGAGAGGGAGGAAGGAGGGCAGAGGACGAGCAAGAUGAGAGAGAUCAUCAGCAUCCACAUCGGCCAGGCCGGGAUCCAGGUCGGAAACGCCUGCUGGGAGCUCUACUGCCUGGAGCACGGCAUCGAGGCCGAUGGCACCAUGCCCAGGUGAGUGACGAUCUCGAUCCGCGAGUGCGUUGCUUUUGGUUCCCCAAAUUUUUUGCUGCGUGCAUCCGCCUCGCGAUCUAGGUUCUCGGCUUGGGCCGCCUCGAAAAUCUGGCGGUCUCGUUGCAUCUCCUCGUUGUUUCCUUCUUCUCGAGAAAUCCUUGCUUCGGCGGAGCCAACGAUGGGCGGGCGGGUGGGUAUGUUAGAUUGGAUGGUACUGUCAUGGCAGUUCCGUGUUCGUGUCUUCCUUUUCGUUCUACUUCUCGUUGCUCCUUGGCUCCUUGUAAUGGGUUUUUUUGGGUGGGAUAUGUUGCGCUUUGUUGGGCGUUGGUACAUUUCUUUGCCGGUUGUUGAGAGAUUCCCAGCACCGGACGAGAUGCGACAUUUCCUAAUUAAGAGUCUGCCCUAGCAUUUUCGGACUAUUAGGCCUUUAAUUUGGUGCGUUUGUUCUGUUCCUACUAAUUAGGCAGGCGUCACAGAGGGGAUGCGUUUGGCUUUUGUAUAGAGGAGCGCACGUUAACAUGUCGUGGGACAAAUUGGGUUUCCAACUCCGUAAGACGCAAGAUCUGAAGAGUUGAAUCUGUGGGGAUGCUCAAUAAAUACUGUAACUGGUUAGCUCUGGUGGAUGUCAGCCCAUGGAUCUCCCUAGAUUCAAAAUAUCUGGUCCAUUGUUAAAAGUGCUAUGCUUAUCUCAGUUUUGCGUAAUCUUGUAGCGCCAUAGAAAAUUGUGCUGAUGCUACUGAGAAUAGAAAUCAUGUUGGGGAUCCUGAGGAGGCAGGUUACGUAGGCUCUAAUUUAUCUUUUGGCGCAUAUGCCAAUGACUCUUGAUUACAUUAACUGAGUUAACUGAUUUAUAAGUUCUUACUGUGCGGUUUUUUUAACGCUGUAUUGUUUGAUUGUGAUGCAGUGAUACCUCGGUUGGCGUUGCACAUGAUGCCUUCAACACUUUCUUCAGCGAGACUGGUUCUGGCAAGCAUGUGCCGAGGGCCAUCUUUGUCGACCUUGAGCCCACUGUCAUUGAUGAGGUGCGCACUGGCUCAUACCGCCAGCUCUUCCACCCAGAGCAGCUCAUCUCCGGGAAGGAGGAUGCGGCUAACAACUUUGCCCGUGGCCACUACACCGGUAAUUCACAUUGUGCCUUUGUGAAUAUGUAAUAGGAGUGAGUCUUGUGCUUCUGCGACUGCGGAUAUGUUCGAUUCUAAUUAUGUUUGUGGAAUGCAGUCGGAAAGGAGAUUGUCGAUCUAUGCCUGGAUCGCGUGCGCAAGCUGGCAGACAAUUGCACUGGGCUGCAGGGAUUCUUGGUGUUCAAUGCUGUUGGUGGUGGUACUGGCUCUGGACUUGGUUCACUGCUGCUGGAGCGCCUCUCAGUUGAUUACGGCAAGAAGUCCAAGCUUGGGUUCACCAUUUAUCCUUCCCCACAGGUAUGGCCUUUCCAAGAGGAGGUUGACUUAAGUAUCUGAGAAAUUGAUAAAAUCAAGUAGGUCUUGAAUCUCUAUUGGGCAAUUUGCUUAGACUUGUAUAUAAUUAAUAUCCUUGCGAACCCAUGCUAAGAUAUGGAUCAUGUAACUUGGCAGCGCUGUUAUUGCCUUCUGAAUUGCACAGAUACACUGGUUAUUGGAUCAGCCUAGCAUUAAUUAAAUCAUGUGUGGACUAAACGAGCAACUGUUGUAGACUUCUGGAGUUCUGGUUAGUGAGGAUCUUCCUUUAUAUGGUUAAGACCAUGAUAGCACAACUGUCACAGGCUACAGGCUUUCUUUAUUAGUGUCCCUAUAAAUCAUGCACUGCACAUGAGCCAACAUUAUCCUAUAGUGCUUCUCCCUCCUGUCCAUUUGAUUGUGGGCCAUUUAGUUUGUUCAUGUGAGUCUGCAUCUUAGCUGUUGUGGGGGACAGUGGGUAGAGAUGUUGUUUAAUGAUUUUGGGUAUGGUCCAUCGUUUAACUUUUCAUCUAAUGCCACUCUGGAUUGCAGGUGUCAACAGCUGUCGUAGAGCCAUACAACAGUGUCCUCUCUACCCACUCCUUGCUUGAGCACACAGAUGUUGCAGUCCUCCUGGACAACGAGGCUAUCUAUGACAUAUGCCGGAGGUCCCUUGACAUUGAAAGGCCAACCUACACCAACUUGAACAGGCUGAUCUCACAGAUCAUAUCUUCGCUUACCACCUCCCUGAGGUUUGAUGGUGCUAUCAACGUGGAUGUUACUGAGUUCCAGACCAACCUUGUUCCAUACCCACGUAUCCAUUUCAUGCUUUCAUCAUAUGCCCCUGUAAUCUCUGCCGAGAAGGCCUACCAUGAGCAGCUCUCUGUGCCUGAAAUCACCAAUGCUGUCUUUGAGCCCUCAAGCAUGAUGGCCAAGUGUGACCCAAGGCAUGGGAAGUACAUGGCUUGCUGCUUGAUGUACCGUGGUGAUGUUGUUCCCAAGGAUGUCAAUGCUGCAGUUGCAACCAUCAAGACCAAGAGAACUGUCCAGUUUGUGGACUGGUAAGCUGUCUCCGUCACAAUUUUAGUUAGUUGCACUUAUUUGAUGAUGUCACAAGCACCUGUCCACUUGAUUGGCCAUGCUAACUAACCAAACUGUGGUGCCGCCAUACAGGUGCCCCACUGGGUUCAAGUGUGGUAUCAACUACCAGCCACCAUCUGUUGUCCCUGGAGGCGACCUGGCAAAGGUCCAGCGUGCAGUGUGCAUGAUCAGCAACAACACUGCCGUCGCCGAGGUGUUCUCACGCAUUGACCACAAGUUCGACCUGAUGUACGCCAAGCGCGCCUUCGUGCACUGGUACGUCGGUGAGGGUAUGGAGGAAGGCGAGUUCUCGGAGGCCCGUGAGGACUUGGCCGCGCUCGAGAAGGACUACGAGGAGGUCGGCGCAGAGGGCGCGGACGACGAAGGUGACGAUGGAGAAGACUAUUGAGUAGCUGGUUAAUAAGUAGUUCGCUGGUGGUUAAUGGUUGGGUUGUUGGGUAUACUCUGUAUGGUUCCAUUCCAUUGCGUACUGCUGCCGUGUGUGUUUCCAUUUUGUAUUAUGUGGUAUAAAUUGUUCGUAGCGCCUGGUUGGCCAUGAUUGUUCAUAUCGUCUUGCUUUGGUUUGCAAUGCUAUUCGAUGAAUUUCGGUGUAUAUCAGUAUAUGGCAUUCUGUUGCAAGUGUUCUGUGCUCUCAACCAUUGGGGAGGAGUUUGAUCUGCCCCGCGGCGUGUUGUCAGGUGGAUAUCAACCAAUGCAGGAUAUGGUUUGCAGGUUGCUCAUAGAUGCCUGAUGCUACGAUCACUGACCAUCAGUCACCAAUGCAUUUGAGGUGGGCAUGGUGUGUCUGAGCUGCUUGAGCCAUACGCUCAGGGUAUGAUGGCAUGUGGAGAUCGCCGUGCUCGUCUGGCACAUCCGGCAAGCGCUGGUCGCGCACAUUCCCCCGGUUUGUCCAGACUUGGUGUCGCGACUCGCGAUGCAAGAGGGAUGAUAGGUGAGACAGCUUGGAAAGUGUUUAGAUCUGUGCACGAGAGCCCCGCGACCUGGUGCCAGUCGAUGUGGGUUGGUUGGUUUGGCAUCUGGUAGGUUUGGUGGCCUCAUGACGCUUUAACUUGGGAUGUCUCGUUCAGGAUCUCAGAAUUAUGAUGUGUCGAAGAAGCGUAAGGCCGGGUAAAAGUUGGAACUCACCCGACGAGCGUGAGUGUGUGACCCUGGAGUUUCAUUAUCGAAAAAAUUAUCUGGCGGACUUCCUGACCCGCCAUGGAUUCAGGCCAGGUAGGCAGCAUCAUUGAAGUACUACCAUCUGGAGUAAGAGUCGGUAGGUUUUCUGCAGAUCAGCAGAUGUGCGUCCCAGUAGCUAUGACUCCACUGGAGCAGAAGCAAACUGAGCCCAACCCGGCAGCCCCAAGAAAAAAGGUUUGGGCUGGGAAAUUGGGUUGCCGGCAAGGCCUUGUUGCGUGACCAGACUCCGGCCCAAAGAGGUGGCAUUACAAUCACCUCCAAAUAACGUAGCUUAGCUGCUCUCCAAAACAAAAAUUAAAAAAAAAUAACGUAGCUUAGCUAGCUUGCUGACUGACGAUGCCAUGGUUACAAAAGAUGCCAUGGUUUGAUUUGAUGACAACAAUGGAGCCGUUGCCGAAGAUGGAUCCACUCGAGCAAGGGCACAGGCCGCCACUCAGUUUUUCUAAUUUCAAUGGGCAUAAAGCUUAUCUAGUAAAGUUAUAAAGGCACACAUUUUUUCCAACUAGAUCCGGCAGCUAUGGUGUCACGGAGGAAUUGCCACAAAGACGAACAUCCAAUGUGUUGGGGGUUGUCGGAUGGGAGAGAAUUUCCCGCAUAUUAUUGGAUGCAUGGACAGAAGUUCCCACCGUUGCGUGAGCGCUGACACUACGAAAACUGACACCGCCCAUGCAGCAACUUGCAUUGCGUUGGUUAGAGCAACUGUUCCGUUCGUUGCCAUUUUGUUCCCUCCUCCGGCAUGUUUAAACUAGCAAAGCAUAAGUAGCCAGGGGGGAUCAACUGCAUCUGCCGCCUGCCGAUAACACGGCCGAGUCACUCACAUGGAGGAGUUCUGAUGCUUUUGCCCACCCUGCUGAUUCCUGAUCCCUGAAUAUUAUCGCGUGUCCAGGAGUUCCGGGACCCAUUGCUCACCUGCUCCGCUAAAAAAAGUUGCAAAAAAAGAAAGAAAAAAUGGCUCUCCCCUCCUUGUCCUCGCAUUCCCGUUUGUUUCUGCCGCUGUCGCGAGCGCUCAGCACAAACUUUCUCUGCUCAGCUCUCGUGCAGGCUGGAGUUGAAGUGUUGAACCAUCGUCCGCGAGCUGCAACCGAGCCAAAAACCGGGAUCGAUGGGAUCGGACUCCGUUGGACGGGCUCGAUUGGAAGUGAAAGGUGAUUGGGGGGGGGGCCCGCGACGACAAAAGCUUGGUAAAUGUGCCGACACCUGGCAGCGCGGCGGCAUGUUUGGCUCAAAUUUGAGCGCUCCAACCCCAACAAGGCAGGCUCGGGCUUAUAUAACUUGGGCCCCAGAGAACGCGCCAUAACCUGCAUUGAUCGUGCACCAAUCCUCGAGGGAAGUUCGUUUAGCGAGUUCUUGGAUUUCCCCGUUGGAGGGACAUAUCCAAAUCUUAAUUUUUUUUACGGGAACGCCAGGGAAGGCCCUACCCGAUUUUUGUUAUAUAUAAAAAGGAAUAUGUACAGUUUACAAGGCUUCAGGCUCAAGGUAAAAAGAGAGAGUUCACAAGAGGCUACUCAGCCAAAUAUUAAUCUUCUGACUAAUGGAAGGUUUUGCCCUAAGGGUAACCUUUUCUAGCUCCGCUACAAAAACAAGCUCUCCAGCAGCUGAAUGAUAGAGUACCACCAUCAAAGAUUAUGCUGUUCCUGUGACACCAUAAGGCCCAUGACGCAAUUAUCACAAUCUCCCUAAAAAAUACUGGAUGCAAACCUCUCCCGUGCUCUGUCAAGAGGUUGGAGGCUGAGGUCCCAUUGAAUGUCCAAAUGUCCAAAUACAGCGAACAGGCCUGGCUGAAAAGGACAGUAAAAGAAUAAGUGACUGAUUGUCUCCUCUACAUUCCCAAUGCACAAAACACAGUUGUAGCUAUCCAAGUACAUGUUCCUUCCAUGUAGGAGGUUUCUGAUGUUAAGCUUAUCACGAAGGAGGAGCCAGAAGAAGAACUUGUGUUUGUUUUGAACCCUAGACUUCCACAUCUAUUUGAAGAGAGGGGAGGCCCGUAUAGAACCCUGGAGGCUUUUGUAAGCUGUUUUGCUUGUAAAGACUGCAGAUCCCCAAAUAUAAGUCCAGACAUCAUUUUGCAAAUCCCCCAUGUGCAAUUGGUCUAAAAGCUGCUGAAGUUCAGUCAGUUGGGCAGCAGCAAUCUGAGCUAUUGUCGGAGGCGAUAAACUUUCUCACCGAAAUAGAAUUUCUCUUUGAGAAAGAGGAAAGCUGCGGAAAUCUCCAUUUGAGCACACCUAAGUCUUAGAGAUCACUCCAGAAGGCAACUGAGUUUCCUUUCUGAGCAUUGCAAGUAGCUAUCAUGGAGAGGUUUUGCGCCAGAGAUAUGAUGUCCUUCCACCAAAAGGAUCCAACAUUCUGCCUUUCAAGGGGGAGUACCAUUCUUAUACAACCACUGCCAUGUGAGAUGCACCCAGGGUAUGUCCACUUUAUUAUAAAAUUUGUGAAGAAAUUUGAGGAGAAGCGUAGUGUUGUCAGUCCUUACUCCUUAGGUUGAUAAUGCCAAGACCACCAUCUUCUUUGCUCCUGCAAGCAUGCUCCAAGCCACCAAGCAACCACCCUUUUUGUCAGAUCACCACCAUUCCAGAGGACAUGUUUCUAGUACUUGUCAAUUUUGUCCAAGAUUUCCACAGGUAUCUUUAGAGCACACAUGUAGAAGGUGAGCAUAACUGAGUAUAUAGAAUUUACAAGAAUUAACCUACCAGCAUAAGAUAGCAUCCUUGAUGUACCCAUGAGGUGCUUUUCCAUACGUUCAAGGAUAGGCAUGAAAUCCACUACCGAGGUCCGAGUGGUUCCAAGAGGAAGACCGAGAUAAGUGAAGAGCAUGCUUCCAAGCUUACAACCUAAGGUUUCUGUUAACUCUGGCCAUUAUUUUGAUUCCUCCACAUUAAUGGGUACCAGGAUAGAUUUGUGGAAAUUUACCUUGAGACCAGUGGAAGUGGCAAACGUAUGAACUUUUUUGUAUAUAAGAUUCAAAUCUUAACUUUGAAAUACCAAUCUCAUUUGAUUAGUUUUGGACGAAAAAUUCAUACUACUUCGACCUUCUUUAGCAAGGCUCUACUUGGCUUUGGCUCCAGCUCUUUGCUACAGUGAUCGAUACUGUGCAACACCAUUUUGAGCUGUAGCGUGAAACCAAAACGCAAAACGAGGAGUAAAAUGGACUAAGGAGAAGAUAAAGUCGGUGAAGCAAGUUUAUUGGACUUCACCGGCUUCAUGCUACAGUGAUGAACAAUACAUGAAAAGUGCUAGAGCUGUAACCGAAGCCACGCCAAAUGCACCCUUAGAAUCUUAGCGUACAGGUAAUCUGACGAGAAACUGAUCCCUCGUCUACAGCCACAAGGCAAUCAGCUAAAUGCCUGUGAAAAUUGGCAAGUUUUGAGCAACACAUAUCCAUUGAAAUGGGAUAGAAAUUGAAAUAUAAACUCCAUUCCGCUUAUAUACCAGUGAUGACUGACGACUACCUCUUCUCCACACUCCAUUUUUAUGUACUUAAAAAAAUUGAAUGGAGGUUCUUCAAAAAGAAAUUGAAAUGCAGAAAAGAAUUUGAAUGAAGAAGUCUCAGACGAAAAUUUCUUUUUUUUUAGACGAAAAGUUUCUGCUACUGAAAAUCUUCAGCAAAUUCGAGUGCCGGAAAUUUGCGCAAGAUUUGAGCAACACUGGCGAUCUAAUCGACCGUCCUGAUCAAAUGUUCGUGGAAAAGGGAAGAAAUAAAAAUUUCUUCACCUAGAGAUAUUAGAUCCAGAGGAUCGAACUACACCGAAUUUAUCUCCACAAAGGGUACACCAAAAGAAUUGAAUUCCGAGAUCAGGUGCCAUUAUGCAGCUCAAGAAGAGAUACUACAUCCUGAAAAUUGGAAUGCACAAUGACUUGCUUUGCCACACGGCAAAAUUCGAAGCAUUUUCGCACAAAAAUGCAUCCACUGGCUACAACGAGUAGGAUCCUCGAUCUUCGUCUUCCUCUUUACACCGCGCACGCACACAUACACCUGACACCUGUUACUUCCCCGACAAUGGCCAACAUCCAGGAGGCGAAAGAGCAAGAACGACGACGCACGCACGCAGUUGAGGUGAGGCUAGCUACUAGCUCAGUGGCAGAGCGGCGAGAGAUCCCAGAGCGGGUCGCAGGCGGAGGCGUCGAGCACCCGGUCGAAAUACUCCUGCAGGCCGUUCAUGGCGUACAGCGACGCCGAGAUGCGCCGCUCCACCUUGAUCCGCUCGAACUCCGCCAUUUCGCCCGGCGCCGCGGUGGCGACCGGCUCCUCUUCCACGGGUGCGGCUGGGACGGCGGUGUCGACAGCGGCGAAGCUGUCCAGAGCCGGGAACUGGCCGAACGCCGAGUCGAACAUCCAAGAAUCGAACUCUUCGGCGCCCACGGCGGCGAACUCCGGCCGGUACACCUCACUGGCGUCCAGCGCGCCGCCGCCGCCAUUUAGCACGGCGUCGUCGCAGCUGACUGCGCUGCUGGAGCUGCUGCUGCUGCUGCUAGAGCCACCACAAGCACUAUUCGUGCUAUUACUAUUAUUAUUGCUAUUGCUAUUGCUAUUGCUAUUGCUAUUGCUCGUGGUGGGAGCAGGGGAGAUCGCCGCCUUCUUCUUCGAGAUGGCGGCGGCGGCGGCCGAGGAGGAGCUCGCCGCGGCGGCCUUGGCCUUCUUGACCUUCUUGUGGUGGAGGAGGCCGCGGAUGCGGACGGCGAGCGGGCAGUCCGGGGAGAUGCGGGGCGCGAAGUUGGUGCGGGCUUCGUUGCCGCGGAGGAGGCGGGCGGCCUCGUCGUAGGCCUUGGCGGCGGCCUCGGCGGUCUCGAAGGUGCCGAGCCACAUGCGGAUCUUCUGCGUGGUGUCCUUGAUCUCGGCCACCCACCGCCCCGACGGCCGCUGCCGGACGCCGACGAACUUGCUGUGGUUGUUGCUGCCCUUCUUCCGGCCCCGCGGCUUGGACGGCUUGGCCUGCGCCGCCGCCUCCUGCUGGUAGUAGUAGUAGUAGUAGCUGCUGUAAUCCUCGAGCUGGAACCCUGAUGACUGUGGCUGGAAGUGGAGCUCCAUUGGAGGCUUUCUUGGUGUUCGAGCUGAUGGUUGGAGUGGUUGGAGGGGAGAGGAGGAAGACAGGUGUCGAUCUGCCGGGUGCUUGCUCUGCUUUGGUUUUGGUGGUGAGCAGCUGAGCACAAGGGGAGAGGAUUUAUAGAGGAUUUCAGGUCACUUGGCAAUGGAGCCCUGUGGGGUUACUGUCAUGGGCUGGUCAAAUGCUGGUCUGCCUAUGAUCAUGUGAAGUGAGUGUUUGGGGGAUAAGGCAUCUUGUUGGGUUCUUUUUGUCCUUUCAGUUUGUUUUUCGGCUUUGCCCUUAUGCAUUGUCACUGAGCAAACAAAGCUAAGCUGGUGUUCUUUCCAUGAUUAUUUUUUUUAACUAAGUUUGUGCUAUUGCUGGAUCAACAAAUCGGUGAGCUUGCAGCCUUAGUGCAUCACCACUCACCACUAUUUGACCUUUUGGCAUUUUCUUUCAUUACUAUAUAUCAUAAGAAAGAUAAUCAUUUUACUUUUGACUCAGUACAGUGGAAAUUCCUUUUUCAAUGUCUCAAAGGGUUCAUGCCUGCAGGCUGCAGGCAGCAAGCACACUAGAGUUCAGCAAGUACAUGCUCCCCACUACAAUGCCAAGCACCGAGUAAAACUUGGAAGCAGGGGUCAGAGGGUCUACUUCAUCUAGUAACUUAAAUUACCAUGUCUACACCUGCAUGCAUUACCUUAACCGAAAUUUUUAGGACACUGAUUGGACUAGUUCUUCCAUAAUUCGCGGUUAUCCCUCUGGUCAAGCUACUUACAUGAGACCGGGUCCGAAUUGCACCAUAACCCGCCACAUGGCAGCAUUAGAGAGAAUGGCGACGAGCAAUUAGGAUACAAAGUAGAAACGGCUAAACAUCACCUUUUCAUCGACCACGCCCACUUGUGCUUUGUUUAUCUUGUUUCUUGACAAAAGCUGCUAUCAACCAAGUCUUUCUCGUCACUGGAUGAUGUACUCGUCCUUAGCUAGUUCAAUUUUGGGCGCCCAUGAGUUUUUGAAAGAAUCUUUGCACAGAUAGCAUAUGAAUAUCAUACAAAACAGCAGCCCGAAUUGUUUUCCGCAGUAAUAAAAUGCUUACUACCAAGCAUUAGUACUUGAACACAUCACAAAGAAAGUGUUACUUUGACAUGGACACGAGUGCCGGAAUCCGACUUCCGACUAGGGUUCGAUUCUUCGACUAGGAAAAACUUUAUUGAAAAUAGAUAAUAGUUAUUGUCUCUUCGGAGACGUCCAACAAAAUUACCGGGCGUAUGAAUGAGUACCGGAGUCCAACUCGGAUUUGUGAAUUGGCAUGGGAGUUGAGUAACACACACAAGAUUCUAGAUCCAGAUAUAUGAUAGCAGUUUUUCACUUUUUUGGAAGUUCCCUUUGACAUGGAAGUUGAGCUAACAGUUGACCACCCGUUCAGGCCUUCUUUUUGCAGAAUGAGCACUUGAGGAGUUCAAGGUAACAAUACGUCAAUAACUGGAGUGUUAGCGUUAUGAUUUUUACACUAGGAGACAAAUCUAAACCCUGAAGCAUCUUUGCUUUACCUUUGAGAAUAGCAACAAUUCUCUAGCCGGUUGAAACUGAAGCAAGCAUGAUGGCAAAGGCUUUCUUGAUCUCUCGGAACUAAAGAGACGGCACUGCUAGUUUAAUGAAACAGGUCUUCUCUUUGCAUACCACAAUGUACUGUUAGGAUUAACAAAGCUACAUUCCUUGGUAAGCAACGGGCAUAUUUUCCCUUCAUAACUUGAGAAAAGGUCAUCGUCAUGACUCAUGAACACGGACCCCUUCAACUCCAAAGGCUUGCCUACCUCACCUAUCAAAAAGGCAAACUUUGUCAAAUUGUGGCGCGUCAUUCCACCAAAUAAACUAUGUUCAGCUUGCUGAUUGAGCAAUAGGAUAGAGCACCCACAUUGGCCAUAGUUUUAUAGUCAGGAUGACUCCAAGAAGGCUAUGGCUCGUAACCUCUUGUUUCGUAGCAUGGCAGAUGCCCUGUUUGUCGCUGUCAAGGUGCAUUUCUUUGUCGAGCUCGGUGGGGCUACCUGCGCCAACAUGACAAGAGACCACUUUUUGGGCAGCAGCAAGGUCAAGAAAGAUGGCAUCUUGGCAUCGGUCCCGGGGGUUGGUUUCAGAUUUGUCUUUGUGUGAUGGAGCCGCCAUGGAGCAGGAGGAGAUGGACAUAUUCCAGCCGUGUUUUGGGAGGUAACCCUCUCGCGACCAAUUCUAGCUCAUUGCUGACGUCAAAACUUUUCGCAGCGAAGAUUAUCUGAAAGCUACCUUUGGAAUUUUUUGCCAUUGGUUCCUUUACGGUGACGAAUGCACCUGCUAUGUGGUUGUGUACUUCUAUUGAUUUGUUGAGAAGAAAACCCAAACAAGGACUAUCUGGCUAUAGGGAGCUGGGACGAUAAACAAAAGCAGCAUCGUAAUGCAUGCUCCUUCAAAUCUAGAAAGAACAUGAUACGGCUGCAUAUAUCUAAAACGAUUUCGGUUGGGGCUGCCAUUUCCAGCUCCCCAGCCGUCGGGAAUCUUCAAUUCCGCCGCAGAUUUCUCGAUGCCACUCGUAUGAAGACAAGGCCGCCAUGCACAUGUGCGGGCAUAUCAACGUUCAACGGAUAGAAUCGUGAAGUUAUUUUUCUUUCAACACAUGUUAAGGUAGCAAAUUUCAGAAGCCACACAAAAGGUAAAGCCACGUUCGAACUAUCAUCUGUUCGUAGUGGCUUUUUAACUCGAUGCCAUGCUCGACGGCUUUAACACAAGCUGGUAAACGUUUCGUUUUUCUCAAUUACUAACCACGGAGCAUGCACAACUUCAGCAUUUCCAAACUGGGCAUAUCUCAAAAGUUUGCAAGAAAAAAUUGGCAAAUAAAAUGACUACAAUUAACGGGCAUCAAAGCGAUGCAGAAGGCAAUCUCACUCAAAGUACAAUGAUCUCAUUACCAAAACUGAUGCAGCAUAGGUCCAACCCAACCGACAACAAACCUCACCAUUUCCCUUACACCUCUGUUGCCAGCACGUCUCAAAACCAUAUUUUGAGUACAUGACAAUAUACACUCUACAUCAAAACCAUGUAUGCAACUUCCAAUUCCUCCAAGCGACCGAUGCAUUCACAAAUUACCCCACCCAGAAAAAGAUUCAACACAAAAGAAUUGCCUGACAGUAACAAUGAUGAAAUAUCAAGAAGAAGAAAAAAUGCAGCCCGGACCUUGCAGCGGCAAAAAACAACUAUGUCGAUAAGAUGGACUGUAGCAGGAGCUGCUGCUGCGGUUGCAAGUUGGAAAAUGUUGACGCGAGAAAAUCUGGAGGUAAAGUCUGCUGGAAUCGCCUCAAGAUAUUGACCAUCUUGUUUUUUGUUUCAUCUGUAGCAAGCUCUGUCCCAGGGCACAAAACCUGCAGAUUGUACAAGGACAAUCAAUGAGUUCAUCCAUAACAGUUAAGUCAAACAUAGUUAUCGCUACAAAUUUACAACCCUACCAAAUUAGAGUACACAUAAAAAAAUUACCUCUGCAAAUAUUGAAAUAAUUUUCAGAAGAUACUGAUUCUGAGGGCCAAGAAUUUCUCCAUCCGACCUGCAAGCAGAAAUGGUUAUUAUAAACCGCAAAUGGGAUCCACCUUAGUUGGCAGAUUUCCAGUCAAGAACAUACCUCUCCACCAUUGAGCAAAGUUGCUCAUGUACAACUUUAGCUUCAAUCUUAUCAUCUUUUAUAGGCAAGCAACUAAGCCAUGCUGGAAUAACCUGAGAAGACUGUAUAGGUCAGUUUCGAAAAGUAUCAUCCACAAGCACAAAUAACUAUCCCCUGGCAAAGCUACAAGUGCAAAAUUAGGCUUCAGACACCACGCAGUACAGUUAGAAGCUGAGAGGUGUUCAGUUUGAGGAAUGGGUGGUCCAUCAGACCAUAACCUUCUCACUCCUCACAUUUUUGUUUGGUUUGGGAAAUAGGAUGAGUUGAUCCAUCACCACCUCAUCCCAACAAGCACAUGGUUAACUUAAUAAUGAAGAAUUGGCUUAACCCACCAAAAUUCAUGGGAUGACUCCAUAGACCAUUCCAUCCUAGACGAGGAGACUCCUCAAACCAAACACCCUAUUAGGGUUUCAGUGUGUCCCUUGCUCCUCACUCUCAGUGUCCACGCUCUCAGUCUCAGUGCGGUGAGAAGAAAGGAGAAAAAGGGUUGACCCUUUUCAGGAAUGAAAGAGUUACAAUCAGCACCGUCUUAAGAUUUUCAAUUCCAGAUUUCAGGCUUCACGCUGCUAAGCCAGCCUAGUACUGUGCCUCAGCCUCCAAGAGCAGGUACACCUUCCUAUUACCCCCCCUCCUUCCCACAUGAACUACUGCCUACGGCACACCGAGCAAUUUCUGGAAACAUGCCGUCACAAUCGGUAGGCAAUAGAUACAACCUCCAAAUAUUCAUCCAUUACCAACAACUAAGCCCUUGUCUCUAGCAAGUUGGGGUAAGCACAUAACAAGAAAAUGUUGGCCAUAUCAUCAGAGGAAAAAAAAGACAUUGAGAAUAGAGCAUAUACCUGGGCCGCGUCAAUGCCAUCCCGAUGAAAUUGACAUAUUUUUCCAAGUGCCGAAACAGCAUUGUCAUAGGCCAUAAUAUUGUCUGGAAGUCGUGCUUCAGGAUGUCGGAUAACAUUGUUUAACUUUGAUAGGGCCUCUGAAUUCAGAAGCAUAACAUGGUUGGAUUAGUUGUAGAAUGUUGAAAAAAAAGCAAAACAUGUAAAUACUGGAAAUAUAAAGAAACUACCUCCAACUAGAGGGCGAAAAACAUGACCACCAAACUCAGCACAUACACCCACACCAUAGACAGCAGCCUAAAUGAAGAGGUCCAGCAUUAUAUCAGUGUCCAAUGAGACCGAGUAAAACGGGAGAAUGGGUCAAGGGAACAUGAUAGAACAAAAAACAGACCUGCCGGACAUCUGAAUUUUCAUCGUUUGCUGCCUCCAAAAGGAAAGGAAGGUAUGUAUCAUAAUACCUCAAAGCUGAUUCACGGCAUUGCUCCGCAACAUCAUCAAAGAUACAGAUAGCUAUCCUUCUCUCCUCGGGUGUUUUAUCUUUUCCCUGCGAAUCAAAACAUAGGGUACCAAAAUAAGUAGGAAUAAAACAUCAAACUGAAAAAAAAGGUUGGAGCAUAACACUGCACAACAGGAAUAAGCAUGAAAAAACAUGCCAAUAACUAAUGAGAAGAAACCCAUUCGAUUCAUGUACAUAAACUAGCAUGCAGUAACUGAAUGCUCAAUAAAUAACAAUAGAGAGCUCACACAAAUAAACAAUCAGGUCAGGGUUCAGUUAGCUUACCAACAUUGGCGUAAUGUACACAGAGAGCUCAUCAAAGAACGGCAAGAAAGAAGCUUUGAAGGUUUUAAUCAAAGUACCAAGGCACUCGCUGACCUGAAAGUUUAAAUAUGUUAAAAGAAAAUUAAUAGGUAAAUCAUUUAACAUAACAUGCCAAAGACAGUUUUCUCAGUAUGACAAAACAGAUAAAACUUCAAAUCAUUUCAAAACAAACAAACCUGAUCAAAUACUUCCUCCUCCUGUUCAUUCUCUUCUUUGAGUAGCUCUCCUUCAUCAGCAUCAAAAUCUUCCGCUUUUGUUCUUUCUGUACGUUCCCUUUUCCUGGUUGCGCUGGCUAUAAUGACAUUUUUAAUCUCAUCCGAAAUAGCUCGUACUUGGGUUUCAUCGAGCAAACGACCAGAAAGCUGCUCAUGAGUAAGAUCAAUGGAAAAUUGAGUCAUAAAUAAACCAUUCAAGAAAAUAGAAUAUUUAAAAACCCAUGCGAAGAGAAACCAACAGAACUAUAACACAUAUUCUUUCACCCACUGAACAUAGUGAAAUGAUCCCUUUCUUGUCUUUUUGUGGUUAUAAAGUGAUAAUCACGGGCAAGCACAUGUUCACAUAUGCAGAUGCACAGAUUUCAGAAUUGUAAAAGGAGCAAAUCUGCGAGCACAACUUUCAGAUAAAAUCUGCGUGCACUUUAUAAGUUUCAUUCUAACUAGACAACUUUCAGAUAAAAUAUGCUAAGAUAUACUUAUUUGAUAACAUAGGGGUAGGUUAGGAAAAAAAGGUGAGGUCCUAAAUAUACAAGUGAAGCUUUAGGAAGAAUCUCAAUCAUGGAUUCAAAUUAUGAAGCAUAGAUGGUGUAAAUGCACAAACCUGCAUGCACUCAUUUAAUGAGUCCAGCAUGGAUGAGCACAUUUCUGUUUCUGGCUCCUGCACAAAGGACGCAAAAAGUUCAGGUGUCAGCAUGGGUAAAAGAAAUAAUAAUUCAACUACUGAGAUAUCUUUAAAUAGACCUUGUGAAGUGCUUCAACAAGAGCUGGAAUUACGUAGUCAGACAACUGUUUAACAUAAGACUCGUCACGGCCUUGAGCCUGUCCUUUCUCAACAGCCAACUUUGCCGAACGUAAGAGUUCCGGCAUUGCUGCACAGAUGUUCAGAAUUGUAAAAGGAACAAAUCUGCAAGCACAAAUAAAUCAUAGUGUAACAUGAAAAUACCCGCAACAGCAGCUCUUCUGACUUCUUCAUGGAAGUAAAACUUCAGCAGAGGGACCAACGUGGGGGCAACCUACACGUAAAUUUGUAUCCAAUGAUAUAUGCUGGAAAGGGGCAGCUGAAACUUGAAAGAAUUAGAUAUUGGAUAUGUUUAGUGCAAUAAUGAACCUGAUCAAUCCAUGGGAAGAAACCCUCCUUAAGCUCAUCAGCAUAACAGCACAGCAUGUUGCAAGCUGUUGCUUUCUCUUCCAGCACACUAGUUCGGAUUCCUAUUCUCUUGUCACCAAGUGUGAUUGUUUCAAUGCUGUAUAAAACACAAAUUAAGGGUAAGGGUAAGUGUAAAAAAAAUCAUACAAAGUUAAAAGUAGGAUGCUCUCCUUGUGUCAGCAGAAAGGUGAAUGAAUAGCAAAAGCUUGGCAUCAUCAAUGAAAAAAACCAAAACACAUGAAAAAACUCCAUAAAUGACAGUGUAAAUGUUCUACCGACUAUAGGCACAGUAAAUCUAAAAGCUUGUGUACGGUUCAUAUCAUUUCAUACUGCAAAUAAGUUUAAAAUUAGAAUGCUAAACUGAUGAUUUUGCAGCUUAAAACGAAUUUCUUCUAAAUUUUCUCCUUUGUACAUUCUCCUGGAUACUUCAGAUACGGGCAUAUAAAAAGUCAUUUAAACAAAAAAUUGUACAUUCUCCAGGAUACUUCAGAUACGGGCAUAUAAAAAGUCAUUUAAACAAAAAGACAAGCAUCAACCAUGGAAUUAAAAAGAUUCCAUAUUUGCAACUGUACAAGAGCGAGAAAGGUAUAGAUAUUUCUAAGUGGAAAUAGUCCAACAUAGUUGUCAGGUUUGCUAACCUAAAUCUCUAAUAAAGUAGAUAAAACAUUGCAACAGAAUGAUAACAGACCUAUCGUCAUCUGAUUCUAUUUCGUCAUCUGAUUCGGCUGAAGUAAUUGUCACAUCGGGCUUCAGCUGAGCAGACUGAAGCAAUGGUGGCAUAACAACACUCAUGUAAGGAAGGAAAUCCUGCCCAAGACAUUUGCAUAGCCUGGCCCAAGCCUAUCACAUGUGGUGGUAAGUGUUAGAUAUAUAUUUGAAGUGUUGUUAAGCCUAGUUUCAGAUGCUUUGAAACAUACCUGCAACAUGUAGCUGGUAAUUGGAUCAUCAGUUUCCAUUGGUGUUCCUUGCAAAGCCAUAAGUACUUCCAUAACCUAGUAAAGGGCAGAUGAUUAGAAUAAUAACACUUCCUCAAUUAAAUAAAAUAUUACAGCUGAUUGCACAUUUAGACUUAAAAGUGCAAGAAGAAGAAAUGACAGCCAUAAAUAAUGAUUUUAAUAAACAGAAAUAGACAUAAUUUUUCUGAAUUCCGAUAAAUUAGCAGGAAAAGCUUGAACAGUGAAACGGUUCAAGAAUACGAACAGUGGUUACAGAUCAAUCACAAAUUAUUUGCAACAAAAUAGAAGUACAUAAUUUGCAAGCUGGAACAUAACAUUACAAGUGAAAGAAAAGGCUAACCUGCCUCGCGUCGUCUCUGAACUUGUCCUUACCCACAGCCAUUCCUACCAAACUAAUACACUCCAUGGACUUGGCACGGAGCAUCCUAUUAGACUUGUCAGUUGCAUUCAUCAAAAUAGCUUUUAGGUAUGGCAUGACAGCAUCAUAGUAUUUCUUGAAGUGCUCCUGCAAGGCAAACAAACAAAAAGUUAUCAUAAUGCUAUCAGCUUGUUAUCAACAGCAGGCAAGACAGCACUAAAACAAUUUGUUAUAAUUGGUCAGCUAUAAAAAAGUUAGUCAAAUGCUAUAAAUUUGUUAAUAGGUGCUUCUGCCACUCAGGAGCAGACAAAUAAAAAGUUUAGUCAAAUGCUAUAAAAUUGUUAUCAUUACCAAGCUAUACAGCACUAAAACAAUGAGACAACCCCAUGAUACAUGUGAUACAUGACGACAGAAAUCCAUUAUGCACAUAACAAAAAAAAAUGUAUCUAUGCACUCCCAGGCGAACAGUUACCUGUGAUGAAUCUGCCACUGAAGCUAGGGCUGUCAAUGCUCCCUCUUGCACCAUUUGCUUGCCAUUCUAGAAAUAACAUGAGAAGUUAGCAUGUUUACUACCCAGAAUAACGAAUAUGCACAAAGCAAAACUGAAAUGUAAAUCAAUACAAGUAAACAUAUACCUGAAGAAGGACAAGUAAUUUGUUGACGAUUCCAUCCAGGUAAGGUGUCAAAAUUUCCGGUGUACAGUUCUCACUGAAGUUCAGGAUCGCAGAUGCAGCAUGUGCCUGUCAACAAGAAGAUUCAUACAGGAAGUCAAUAUAGGUUGCUUUUUCCUAAGAUGCAUGACAUAAUAGAUGCACAUGACUUCUGAUUGAGAAUAGAGACAUAAAGAGUUGCGUAGACUUAGCAUCUCAAUAAACGCAAAACACUUCAACAGCGUUCAAUUCAAGAGUCUUAGUUUUCAAAAAGAAAUGAUAAAAAAGUCAAAGUUAAUCAAGCAUCUACAAAAUGCUACCUUCUAGUAACAUUUACUUGUAAUGGUGAUGAUGGACUUACUAACUUGCCAGGUGAUUAAAUUACUAUUUAUUAAAGAAAAUUAUUAGCUUGAAGCUAAAUAGAACUUCGUUUUUAGACAUUCAUGUGUUAACUGCCCACAACUAUUUACAAAGUUUUGUUUCAGUAUGCACGAACAAUAACUUUCUUGAUCCACAUCAAGCCAAUUGAUGCAACAUUAAUUCUAGAAUAAGCAUUAACAAGUUGAAGAUAUGAGAUCAAGUUUUGCUAAAAUAAUAGAACUAACCUGAACUCGUGGGUUCUGGAAAUCAUCCAUAGCGUUCGCCAAUGCAGGCAACACUUUCUGGUGGUAAUGAACUUGCAAGUCUGGGCCCAAAUCCGUAGAGAGCUGACCAAUGGCAUUGAUUGCAGCCCAUCUCACACGUGGGUGAGGAUGUUGGAACCCAUUCAAUAUCAUCGAGACAACUUGUUCCAAAUUUUUAAGCAUAACCUGCCAGCAAAAACAGCAACCAAUGAUAAGAUGGCCUUGUCCAGCUAUUUUCCUAAACAUGAAAUCGAGAACAGAUAGCAUAAUGUGGUUUAAUAGUAGCCAACAGCUCUUAUAGAUUUGGCAAUUUAGUAUUUGUCACCGCUUCUACAUGUAGUGUUCAUUAUCCCAUUUUCCCAAUUCCUAAUUCAACAUGUCAGCUCAAGAAAUCCAUUUUACCUAUCCAAAACAGCAACAAUAAAUAUCUUUUGAGUUGAACAACAGAUUGCUGUAUACUAGCCAUACUUAUAAAGUUAUCAUGCUAACCUUUGCACAUCCUUCCGCAAUCUGUGCGAGUGUUAUGAGCGCAGCAUGGUGCUUCUGCCACUCAGGAGCAGACAGGUACUGUGGAAGCAGCUCAGAUGCAAUUGGCACAAUUGCAUUUCCACCAAUGGCGAUGGCAAGGCGGUCAAGGCACUCCUGUGCCACUCCAUAGUUGUUCCCUUCACCUGCAUCCUCAUCUUCGGUUUCAGCAGAGUGCCAAGCAGGGUCAUCCUCGACAUCAAGCAGCAUCUGCAUUAGCACUGCAAACAGCCUGCCGACAAACUGCGGGAGUCGACGCAUCAUUCCCGGUGCACGCUCCCUUGCCUCAGCAAGAGUAAUGACAAACUCAACCGCCAAGUGCCUGGUCCCAUCUUCCAGCUGUGCAGCCUCAGCAACUUGUAGCAUUGCUCCCACCACGUCCGCAAUCUGCCUCCGUAGGAACCUUGGCUCUGCGCCAGCCAGCUCAACGAGCAGCUCCAGCGCCUCCUGCGCCGAGGCCUCCUGGCCAGAGUUCAGGCAAUCCGUGAGCGCCCUCAUCAUAGCCGGGAGCAAAUCCUGCAUCUUAUCCCGAUCGGCGUUGGUUGGCAGGCACUGGACGAGGUUGACUGCGGCACCCAGGGCCGCAAUACGCACAUCAGGGGAUGUGGGGUGCGCCAGAGCGGCGGCGAGCAGGUUGUGGAUAGUCAUCAGAUGGUCGAGGAGCGAUUCAGCGAUGUAAUCCGCCAGCCUCGCGAAGAUAAGCAGCGCCGACUCCUGAAGGUUGGGCGCCUCGGGCCCCGACGCGGCGCGGAAGAGGAAGGGCAGCAGCUCGGCCCAGGCGUUCUCGGGCAGCAGCGAGGCAGCGAGCUCGGAGAUGGCAUCGCAGACCUUCUUGGCGAUGGGCUUGGGGGGAUCGGACUGGAGCGCGGAGAGGAGGUGCGCCUUGAGCGCGGACUGGCCGGCGAGGGAGAGCUGCGGCCAGAGCGGCGCCGGGGGCGAGGCGUUGUUGGCGGACGCGUCGGAGGACGGGGUCGGGGAGAGGACCUUGCGGAGCAGGACCCCCGCCAUGGCGCGGAGGUCGGCGGCGGUGGCGGGCGACGCGAGCGAUGAGGCGAGCCGCAGCGCGAGGGGCUCCGGGUGGGAGGCCCGGAGGCGGUGGAAGGCGGCCUCGGCGGCGGAGCGGUCGGUGUUGGAGGACGACAUGAGGGUCGACAGCAGCCCGUCGAACGCCGCCGGGUCGCCCCCCAGCAGCGCGGCGGCCGCGGCCUGGUCCUCGGCGGACGCCAUCGGAUCGGGGUCGAAUCCGGGGCGCGCGGCGGCGGCUAGGGUUUGAGGGGGGAUAGGGGUCGAGCCGGUGGUGGCGGCGGCGGCGGGAAGGGGAGGAGGGUGGUGGAGAGAGAAUUAGAGACACGGCCUCGGGUUGGGUUUAAUAUUAUAUGGGUAGGGUUUGGGAGAUGCGUGCGGCUCGCUCGUCGCGGGCGGGCGCGGCGGGGAGAGGCCAGGCGACCUGGUGGCUGGUGCGUUUGGGGUGGGUGACUGGGUGGGGCAACCGCCGCGACGCGAGAUGAGAACGAGACGAGAGCAGCGCGCUCGCCGUGUGGUUUGGUUGCAGGCCGCCGGGGUCGGGUCCGGCUUGGCGGGGUUCGGGCACCGCACGACGGUUUCGCGGGAUUCCCUUGUCCCCGUCAGCUUUUCCAUCGUCCCCCGUGGAUUUUCGCAUCGACUCGCCGAUUUCUGCGUCCGCCGAAACCGACCGCUCGGCUCGUCUCGGUUCGGCACCCGCUCGUGCCCCUAUGGCAUCCGCCGCUUCGCCGAUGCUUCCUUUUCCCUGCCGCGCCGCGUCUUUUCGGCGAGCGGGCACGGGGGGUUCUGGGUUUUACAGCUGGGGGGUGUGAGCUGGGCGCGUGGAUGGAAUGGAUGGACAGGAGAAGGUGGUGACGCCCAUGGAGGGCCAUGAUUGGGCAUUGAUGGGUACAGGCAGCCGGCCGGGCGCCAUCUUCCCCGCGUCAUCAUUGAUGCACGGCUCAGGGGAACAGCAGCGGCCCAACAGGGCUCGUGCAAGCUGCUGGCAAUCUUGUGGGUUGACUGAUUUCCGGUACGAAGAGUGGGAAUGUUUUGGUUAGCUAUCAAUGGUGUGUAGCACGUAGUACAAUAGUUACGUGUGCAUCACCGUAUCAAUGCAAAACAAGUGGUGAACAUACGGUGAUUGAGAUCCCGUGUGUUCAUUCCCAGGGAUUAUGAUUUCGUUUUUUGAAUUUUUUCGGUCCUCAAUAAAAACACCAAAUUUCACGAAUUCCAGCUGAAAUUUGGACUAAAAAGGUAAAUCUUUCAACGAAGAGAACAAAAUUCCGGGCAAACAGUUAUUUCAGUCACCAUCGAAAAGACCAAAAUUUCACGAAUUUCAACCGAAAAUUCACGAAUUUCGAUCGAAAAUCUACGAAUUUCAACCAAAAUUUUGAACCAUGUUCAUUCCAUUCCUUUUCGAUAGAGGUGUUGUUUGCUCCAUAAAUUGCGACGCAAAAGCAAGCAUACCCCGUAAAAGUUAUUAAAGUAAUGAGAAUUUGGCAUGACGUCAACAAAGUAACGAGAAACUGACGUAACAUUAAGCCGUUUACAAAAUAACGGAAACCGACAUGGCGUUAUGCUUUUAACGAAGCAGACAGAAACCGACGUAGCGUUAAACCGUUAACAAACAAACAGAAAAACUGGCAUGGCGUUAUGUCGUUAGCAAAGUAACAAGAAACUGACAUUGCGUUAGGCCACCGACAUUGUUCGGUUCCCAAGAAUAACGGAAAUGGAAAGUGGGAAGCUUCCACUAAAGGAGAAGACGACACAUAGAAAGAGGAAGGUUGUUGUACGCAGUGGAGCUGCAUCUUCUGACGUGUCGUAGCUAUCGUCAUCGACGGCUAUCACGCAUUAUGUAUCACUUCUGCUUUGGCGGUAUCAUUUAGCAUCCGUGGUAAUCUGUAGAAUGUAAGUUCCGUCAAACUACCACCAAGCAAAUUACACAUGCUACCCUCAAGGUAAACCAACUUGCCCUCUUUAGCCUCCUCGUAGCCUCGAUGAGUUCCAUUUCCCUAUUGCAUGCGGAUGCUGGUAAGCAUCACACAUCAUAACUACAAAAGCUUUCUAUGAAACCUAAUUCACCGGCGCCACGUUCUUGCACUAGUUGAAUAUUUCAUAUUAAGAUCGCAAGAUAUACAUUGGCUUGGAGGGAUUCACAUAUUAAACGGCUAGGCAAUGCAAUCUAAUUACAUUAUAAAAAAAUGUGACCAAACAUUAUCGUAAGUUAACCGUCAUGAUCAGAUUUGGCCUAGACGCGCCCCCUCCCCGAGGGUUUCUGAGCCGCCGCUGCCGUCGCAACCUCCCUCACCUCCACCACCGCUGGUCCCCCUCCCUUCCCACCUCCGUCAUCUCGCCAGAGGUCGGAGGGAGUGGGGAUCCAUCUCUCUAAUAGUUUUCUUAGUAGAUCGAGUUCAGUUUAGGGUUUAGGUUUCUCCAUGCUGAAUUUCUCGAUAUUGAAGAUUUGUUACCUCCUUCUCCUUUCCGUCAACGGCGAGGAGGUAGGGUGGAUUUGGUCUCUCCAUAGCGACUCCGAUGAAGAUGAUGGCGGCAACUACGACGUCACCAACUUCCUUGGCAUGACGACAUGGAGAAUUAGGUUUCUGGAUGGCGACAUCAAGGCGGGGAUGAUGUUACCAUUGUGGAAUAAUUUUCUCAGCCCCUUCUCCGUUUUCUUAUGGUUAGACCUAGCCACGAUGAAGGACUUGUGAGAAUAAAUCUGCUCCUCGAGCCGAUUAUAUUUGGUUUUGAGUUGGGAAGAUCAGGUGGUUUUCCUUAUUCUUCGGUGGCAGAAGGAAAAAUAAGGAAGACACAAGAAAAAAAAAGA